CGGGGCAGGAAAGCCGUAGGACUUUUCACUGAUUCAACAAACUUCAUAUUCAUGCUUGAGCCGCGAUUGAGGUCCAUUUUCAAGAAAAAGACUUUCACUUUUGGGUCAAUAUGGAGCUCAUCUUCAGUAGGAUUUCCACAAUAAUGUUUGAAACUACAGCUGUCAUCAUAUGUUUUCAACCUGAAAUUGCCCCUUUCCGGCCACUUCCCUGUAUUUAUUGGAUGAGCAACAAAUUAGUACAACAUAUAAAUCCGGCCAGCUUUUAUUUCUGGUAAUGGACUACAAUGUCCCUGCGCAAAUUCUUCCAGCAAUAUCCCCCUUUUUAAGAUCCUUGUCAUAUGCUUGCUCAUGAUUAAUGGAAGAGUAAAAUUAUUAAAAGAAAAGCAUGUUAGAUCUUUUUCUUUUCUUUUUUUUUUUUAACACGGUACAAGAAAACCCCUGUAAUUAUUGAAGUACUUUUUCUUUUUGUUUUGUUUUAAGUGAAACUAGAAGUUUUCUAUUACAAUUUCUCCUUUUUUUUUUAAGGUUUUGAACUUGAUGAGUGUCUUUCAAUUCCCCCAGAAUCCAAGGGAAACAAACAAAGACGCAACUCGAGCAAUAGAAGCACAGUAAACGGUAGAUAUAGGAAAGGACCAUUUCUGAGACAAACCAUCUUUUAGCAGGUCUCUAACAGCUUUGGGCAUAGGAGUGUUUGGAAGCUCGGAUUUCCAGUAGGCUUCAAGAUCUGCAUGGUUUGCCCCAACUCCUAGCUGAAAUAUAUUUCACGAUACGGAAAAAGAGUUAUGCAGUCAGUUUGCACACUAUCCAAAGUGCGAGCAAAUUAUCUAUCUAAAAAUUAACGUAGCUUAACUUUUUCAGUAAUGUACACUCACAAAAAGAAAAGAGAGAAAGUAGAGAAGCUUCAGAAAUUCCAUAAUAGUUUAUGCGCACGAGCCACGGUAGGCUGCUAGUAUGCAAGACGGAGUGAAGAUAGUAAUAAAAGCCAAUAUAUUUGAGCGAGAUGGCACAAGAAACUGGGCAGCUUUAUUUAUAAGCGGAAGAGCCAAGCGGGACUCGGGGCAGGGACGGUUGCAGGUGCAACCGUUCCUGCCAAUUUUAGCUCAUUUUAACUGCGCGUAACAUUGGUUCAACUGCGCGUAACUUUUUUUUUCACAACAUGUAUUUUCACAACAGAUAGUGGUGGGCCCCACACUUGGCGCGAAUUUCGAGUUACAUGGUGUUAUUUCAACCGCACAAAAUUUUGAGGGCCAAUUUUCAGCCGCACAAAAUUUUAACCGUGCAGGGACGGUCAUACUGAUGACCGUCCCUGCCCCAAAUCCAGCCAAGUGCGAUUGCCAAUUGUUUGAGAGGGGGACAGUUUUGAUAUGGUGGCUGUACGGCACCAAUCAAGUUUUGACAUUGUUACUCUAAACAUGCACCUUAUCUACGAGUAGGCUUCUUGAGGGACAGUGAAGAUAAUACUGAAGGCAAAAAUACAUAAGUGAGAUUUCACAGGAAAUUGGCCGCAUUUUAGAUAAAUGAACUUAAUCAUCACCUACAAUUAAAUGUGUGACUAAGAAAACCGUCAUCUGUACCUUGAUUGUCACCAAGAAAACUGUAAUAUGUACUUUUAUUGUUACCAAAAAUCCGAUUGGUGAAAAUACUACCAACUUAUAACAUUGAGAAUUGAGUAUCUAGUAGUAUACCUAAAAAAGAAAAAAAAUUCCAUUUGAGAACCCUAAGAACAUAAUACUAAUAUCUCCAAAGCUCAUCAAAAUUCAGCAUAAUCAUGCCACAUGUAAAAGUGGGGUACAUGAUAUACAUGGAUGAGGAAAUUGUGGGCUAAUGUGGAGUGACAGGUGCCGAACCUGUGCAAUAAUAAAUCACUACUCGAAAGAAAAACAAAUUUUGCAUAUAGUGACGAGUAGGGUCGAAUCCACAAGGACUGAAGAUAAUUCGUUUCUUUUAGAAUUCAAAGUAUGGAGGUUUUCAGGAUUAAAUGCUAACUAAUUAAAUGCAAAAAUAAUUAAUUAAAAGAAAUAAUUAGAGAAACUCUAGCCAAGGAUACACUUCAGAAAUGGUUCAUGUACUGAUCAUCGAUUCACAGAUAAUUCCAAUAUUUAUUAAUAGAUUAGUUAUAGUUGUCAUGCACGCGAUAAACAACCAACCUUUCCUUAAUUUCUCGAUAGUUAAGGUACGACCGUUAACUAUUUCUCUAACUCGGAAACAACCUUAGGUACGACCGUAGGAUUUAAUUUCUAGAUUGCAUUAAUAAUUAGAAAAGUCCAAUCCUAACUAACAAACACGCUACGAGGGUUUGUUUAAACUAGAUCGUAUGUUCCCCUGACAUAAACCCAAUUACGCCAGUUGCUACUGGGAUGGAGAUAAUCGAACAAUUACGGAUUUAACUACCUCUAAUUAGCAAAUAGCCUACGUGAAUAAUUAAAUAUUGCGCACCUAUUCAAUCAUACACGAUAGCUAUACCAACAAUUAAAAGCAGAAAACAUAUAAAUACCAAUAAAUGAAGGAAAUAAUUAAAAAAAUUUAGAUCUCACAGUAAUUGCCGAACCAAAUCUUCAGUUGUCCUUUGACUAGAAUUAAGAAGCUAGUUUUCCAUUAAUAGAGAACCAGCCGUGCGAAAAUAAAACAAUCGGAGCUUUCUAAUGUUUUCAGAUGGGAAAAGGAAACUAAAGCUGAGCCCCCCAAUUACACGUGAAUCUGGCCCUUUUAUAUCUUCAGUAGCCGCCGCCCCCGAGAAAACUAACGUCUGACCUUAAAAAGCAAAAGCUAAGCUAAUGACUAAAUGCCCCUCCCGUAAAUUUGGCUUUUUUCCUCCUUUAUAGCGCCACCAGGAGCCAAGAAAACGUUUGACCCAAUUAACGAAACCAAAGCUAAUCUUUUGGAGUUUUAAUCCCAUGCUUCUCGCGGUUCACGUGGACCCAACCUUCUAAUUGCCCACUUUUGUUGCUACCAAGCCCGCGGGUCCGGCCUUUAGGUGAGUCUCCUCAGUUUCUGGCGUGGGCACGCUCUGAAAUGAAGGGUCUUCUGGAAAUUUGCCUCAAGAGAUUACUUUUAACACCAAUCACCUACAAUUCACACAAAUAUCAAAUAUGAGCAAAAUCUCAAUACGUAGCACAGUAAGUAGCCAAAAUUGGGACAAAAUAACAGUGCAAAAUGUGCCCAAUAAUUGCUCUAUCAAAUCCCUCCACACCUAGACAAUGCUUGCCCUCAAGCAUUUCAAAGUUCAGAAAUACAAUCAAGAAAAGAUAGGUCCUGCAGUAAUCUACACUAACACAAGCAUCCCACAUUCUUGACAAUGCCGCCAAAAUUAGAAUACACUAGAUAGGUGGUGAUCCGAAGAAUAUAAGCAGUAAUACUCGUCACCUUCAAGAAAAUGUAUGAAUACUAGGAACGCUCAAAUCAACAUUAGGAAAUGACAUUACCAUAGGCUUGCACAUUUAUCACAUCUCCACCACUGAAAAGUGAACUAAAUAUACAAAUCAAAGGGACUUUAAUAGGGUUGUAAUAGGGCUUAGGUAAAAGGCGGGAUAAGAAGGUAAAAAUAGGGUAUAAUAUGUCAAGAGAAUGUCUGAUAUCCACCACAUCACCACAACGCUUCAUCAGAGAAAUUUCACGAGCAAGGCAUUUUCAUUUGCCAUUUCCACUGUGCAAGUGUCAAAACUCUUCUCCUGUUCUCUUUUUUUUUUUUUUUGAACAAGCGGCUCACAAGGCGUGGGCACGUCUUGUAGGCCGGAGUCUUCUGCUCACGAGCUUUUUUUUUUUUUUAACGGAGCAGAUGUCUUGCAAGGCGUGGGCACGCCUUGUAGGCUGGAGUCUUCUGCCCACCAGCUCAUUGCCGACUUCUCCCCCUUCCCUUUUUUUCUUUUUAUCUCAGAUACACAGAGCACCGUACAACUUCUAUUCCGACAACACUCGCUACCUUAGAUUCAUUUGCCUUGCACAAACAACGGAAUUCAGACAUUUCUUGACGACACAAGGUUAAACAAGAAAGUCUAAAAAGGUCAUGGGUUAUCAAACACGGCUAAUCAAAUAAUAGUGAAGGAUAAAAGCUCAAAUAGGUUCACUACGGGGAGACAAGAUGAAGGGCAUGGUUUGUAGAAAGUUAAAGAAGGUUAAAUCCUAAAUGCCCUUAUCAUUUGAAAUGCAUCCAGUUCAACAAAAUGUGGUCUUGACAUGUACAAAAUAGCAAGUUCUAGAAUGCCAAUACCAUGUGUGAUACCCACUCAAUCAAACAAGAAUAGAGCGAACAAGGAUAAUGUGCUCAUACAAGGCCCAAAAGCUCCCAAAAGUUUCAAGAAUGAGUCAAGUCCAGCAUAUUCAAUAUUCAACACUAUUGUCAAGGAAAAACAAAAUGUAUAACUAGUAUGUAUAACCACAUAUCCGUGCACCUUGAUUGUGCAAUCCAUCAUAGCAACAUGCUCUAGCAGUUAACAAAUGUAGGACUAGAGAAGUCAACUAACUACACUUUUUUUCUUUUUUUUCUUCAUUUUCCUCUUCAUUUUUUUCUUUUUUUUUUGUGUUUCUUUUUUUUUUUUCUUAAAAGCAAAGCAAAAGGAGAUAAUAAUGGAAGUCAUCCCUCCACACCUAAUACCUACAUUGUUCUCAAUGUAGAAAAGAUGAAUGAAGUAUAAGGAGAAAAUGAGAGAAACUUCCCUGACCACCGAGAGGGUGCAGCGAGACACUAAGGCGGAGAAGGGUGGGGUGGCUAGAAUCCAAUGUGAGCAAAGAAAGUCGUCUGAUGAGAGAGAUAGUGAUGGUGGGGCGGGCAGCGGCGUGCGAUGGAUGGCGCGAGGGGGAGAGAGAGAGUUUCUAGCGGCGGUGGACAAGGGGGAAACCUUGGACUAAAACAAAACAAAGAAAAUUGAAAAGUAGAAGCUGAGACAAUGGAAAUUGAUAAAACCAUACAAGACAAGAAAAGAGAAAAGUAGAAAGUGGGAUUAGAGAGGGUCCUGGUCAAUCUUUGACUUUUGUUGGCGCAAAGGCUGGAAGGCGUGGGCGCGCCUUGGAAGCUAUAGUCUUCUGACCGUCAAUUCCAAAGCUUCAUUCCUUAGGCGUGACCAACGAAAGUGGGCAUGUCUAACUGCUAGCUUCCUGCCACAAAACAACAACCCACUAAAUGACACUAAUACUUAACAAAAAUUUCGAAAAUAUAAGAAAACUAAAACAAAAGAAGCCUUGGGUUGCCUCCCAAGCAGCGCCUUUCUUUAAUGUCUUUAGUUAGACAUCGUCAUGUUUAUUCACGGAGGAUAAAAUCGUGUAGCUCGUCUCAGUAUUUCAUCUUCUAUGUAUCCUUGAUAUCCCUCGUAAAUAGAGUAAUUCUUGAGCACACGAGGUAUGGUCUUCCAUGGAUUAGUAGAUGCCUCUAAACAAGUCGAUAAGAAUCUUAGUUCUUCACUUACUCCUCCAUUACGAACACUUAAUGGUUCGAGAUAUUUUUCCAUUGCAACUCUUAACUUAUUCCUGUCAUGAAACUCAAAAUUAUCUGGCAUAAUAAAAUCUAUUUCACUAACAGGAUUUAAAGAAUAAGAGUUCGAAAAAUAUUGACUAAGGAAUGGAGGAAAUGUCACCGCAUUUAGGGAUUGUUCACUGAAUUCAUUCACUUGAACAAUUUGAUAUUGGGAUCCUAUUUCUUCCACUUCAAUUCUCUUCUCAACUGCAUCUUUAGCUUCUUCUUCUUGAGACUCUUGCAGCUCCAUGUCAUUUGUCAGGAUAAUUGCACUCUCAUCAUCAUCAUGAUCGAUAAUCAUCUGUGAAGGCAAUUCUUCACUCAUUCGAGAAGUCAAUUGCGUUAUUCUAGAUGUCAUUUGAUCCAUUUGAUCUGCCAAGUUACGCAUGCUCGCUUGUGUCUCCUGAUGAAAUUGAUAUGUGUUAGUAGCUAAUAAUUCAAUCAUUUCUUCAAGAGACAUACCUGACAUAGAUGAUGGUUGUUGAGACUCUUGCUGUUGAAAACCUAUUGACCUUUGUUCAUAAUUAAAAUUGGAAUCAUCCCACCAUCCUUGAUCAUACCCAUUUGAAUAAGGGUCAUACCAUGUUUGAUAUUGAGGUGAAAAAUCUCCAAAAGUAUCGAUUGGAGCACCUGGGCCAUCUUGAAAUGCGGGAUAUAUGUCAGUUGAUUGACCUGAGGCAAAAUAAGUUCCACAAUUCGCAACAGCCUAUUGAUCAUUAGAAAAAACAUGAGUCUCAUAACCCCAUCUAGAAAUAAAAUCCACUCUAUCACCAAAAUACAGAAUAUUAGUAGCCAUAAAAAAAAGAUGAACUAAAAAAGAAACAAAUUAAUCAAGCGCCAGUCCUCGGCAACGGUGCCAAAAAUUAACAGGUGCCGAACCUGUGCAAUAAUAAAUCACUACUCGAGAGAAAUACAAAUUUUGCAUAUAGUGGUGAGUAGGGUCGAAUCCACAAGGAUUGGGGAUAAUUCGUUUCUUCUAGAAUUCAAAGUAUGGGGGUUUUCAGGAUUAAAUGCUAACUAAUUAAAUGUAAAAAAUAAUUAAUUAAAAGAAAUAAUUAGAGAAACUCUAGCCAAGGGUACACUUCAGAAAUGGUUCAUGCACUGAUAAUCGAUUCACAGAUAAUUCCAACAUUUAUUAAUAGAUUAGUUAUAAUUGUCAUGCACGCGAUAAACAACCAACCUUUCCUUAAUUUCUCGAUAGUUAAGGUAUGACCGUUAACUAUUUUUAUAACCCGGAAAUAACCCUAGGUAUGACCGUAGGAUUUAAUUUCUAGAUUGCAUUAAUAAUUAGAAAGGCCCAAUCUUAACUAACAAAUACGCUACGAGGGUUUGUUUAAACUAGAUCGUAUGUUCCCCUGACAUAAACCCAAUUACGCUAGUUGCUACUGGGAUGGAGAUAAUCGAAUAAUUACGGAUUCAACUACCCCCAAUUAGCAAAUAGCCUACGUGAAUAAUUAAAUAUUGCGCACCUAUUCAAUCAUACACGAUAGCUAUACCAAUAAUUAAAAGUAGAAAACAUAUAAAUACCAAUAAAUAAAGGAAAUAAUUAAAAUAAUUUAGAUCUUACAGUAAUUGCCGAACCAAAUCUUCAGUUGUCCUUUGACUAGAAUUAAGAAGCUAGUUCUCCAUUAAUGGAGAACCAGCCGUGCGGAAAUAAAACAAUCGGAGCUUUCUAAUGUUUUCAGAUGGGAAAAGGAAACUAAAGCUGAGCCCCCGAAUUACACGUGAAUCUGGCCCUUUUAUAUCUUCAGUAGCCGCCGCCCCCGAGAAAGCUAAUGUCUGACCUUAAAAAGCAAAAGCUAAGCUAAUGACUAAAUGCCCCUCCCGUAAAUCUGGCUUUUUUCCUCCUUUAUAGCGCUGCCAGGAGCCAAGAAAACGUUUGACCCAAUUAACGAAACCAAAGUUAAUCUUUUGGAGUUUUAAUCCCAUGCUUCUCACGGUUCACGUGGACCCAACCUUCUAAUUGCCCACUUUUGUUGCUGCCAAGCCCGCUGGUCCGGCCUUUAGGUGAGUCUCCUCAGUUUCUGGCGUGAGCAUGCUCUGAAAUGAAGGGUCUUCUGGAAAUUUGCCUCAAGAGAUUACUUUUAAUACCAACCACCUACAAUUCAUACAAAUAUCAAAUAUGAGUAAAAUCUUAAUACUUAGCACAGUAAGUAACCAAAAUUAGGACAAAAUAACAGUGCAAAAUGUGCCCAAUAACUGCUCUAUCAAGGAGGCAACAAAAUAAAUCAAAAUGUGGAAUCUCUUAUCUAUUUAAGUAGUUUUGUUAUGUCUUACUUGUACCUAAAACUAUUACGUUCUACAAUUAAAGCAUAUGGUUAUUGUUAUGAGCUUGUAACUUCGAUUCCUUAGCAUCAACUUGCGUUUAGUUUUAGCCGAGUAUCAAGCUAUGCAAAACAUACUUAGAUAAGUUUGGUAUACACACCGAAUUGCAUUCACAUAUUAUAAUUCCACCUAUAAACAGCAACUCUAAAUUAUAAUAUUUUUAAACAAUAGAUACAAACAUGAAAAUCGUUAAAAUUAAAGAGGUAAAUUAGUCAUUAGUUUUGCUUUUGUCGCUUAAGUUGUACAUCACUUAGUAUAGAAUUUUCCAUGUAGUAUAUUUCAAAGCACAUAAACAUAAUAAUGUUUGAUGAUAUAAGAAGAGCUUAGAUGAAAAUAUAUAAUAAUAUAAGAAAAGUCAUGUAAAUUGAAUAUAAUAAUAUUAGUUAAAGGUAUUUGCAUUUUACAUGGUAUGGGCUUCCUAAGGAAAUGUCAAGAAUAUUCUUAUUUGACAACUAAAAUGAUUGAAGUGACCAAAAUAAAUAAAUAUAAUAUGCAUCACAUUUUAACCCGUCAUGGUUUUGUGUUUUAUUACAUAAUCCCAAUUAUUUUAGUGCUAUACCACAUAACCCUCAUAUGAUUUUUAAAAUACAUAACCCCCUAUGGUUAAUUAAUAAUUUUAGAUUUUAUAGAUAUUUUAAUUGAUUUCAUUAUGAAAUACAAAUAUAGUCAUUUUGACACUUUAGUUCAAAUUAUGAGAGGAUUAUAUAAUUUUUUCAAACCACAAGAGAGUUAUAAAUUUACUAAUAUUUGGUUCCCAUGUGAGGGCCAUAUUUAUUGUCAGAUAGUCCAUUAGCGUAGGUCCAUAUGACAAUUUGGAAGUAUUGAUGACUUGAUGUCAAGAGGCUUGAACUAAAAGACUAUUUAAAAAAAAAAAUCAAUAAAACUACUUUCAUUUAGUCCAAACAAAAUACAAUAAAAAACGUACUAAAAAGUUUUCAAAUAAUUUAAACUUAAAGUUUGGUGCUACCUGGACUUUUCUAAAGUGCUAUAAAAACGCAGCAGGUUCACGACAGAAAACAGUUGACUAUUGAGAGGUUGUAUCCAGGAAUAUUUAUUAAGGAUUAAAAUUGAAUCCUACAAUUCUCAGACAGUUUAGUAAUUGCCCUUCACUUUCUUCGUCCUAUGAGUCUGGAGUGGAGUGGUGGUAGUGGUCGACAGUGGAGGGAGUAGAGUGGUGGUUGUGGAGAGGGAGGGAGGAGGGAAGAGGAAGAAGGGACAAUGUGUUUGGGGCCGGGGGAGGAAGAAAAGAAAAUUUUUUUUUUUAUAUUUCUUAAAUACCUAACUAUACAGAAGUUUUUUCACAAAUUUUAUAGUAAAUUACAACAAAAUUUUAUACAAAAAACCAAAAAACUCACCAUUUAAAUGGGGUACUGGUUUGACAAAAAAAAAAAAAAAAGGGGUAUUGGAUAAUCAGAUAACCCCCCUUCUUAUAUUAGCUAGGGUCACAAAGCUCAAGUUAUUUCCAUGAUUUCAAUGUGUUUCUCUUGGAUUCUAUCUCUCACAUAUAUUAAUUGCUGCGUUGGUUUUGUACUUGAUGUCCAUUUGGGGUAUAAGUUGGGCGAAUAAAAGUAUAAUUAGAAGGUGAAUAUAGGAACAGAUAUCUGUUACAAGGUUGCAGAAACCUUCAGAAGGACCCUGCAGAUGAUAAUCUUGCAAAAAAGGGUAGCCCCUAGAGGAUAUCUCUUAUAAUUUCAAGAUGUGAUGAUAAGGUUAGAGCAAUGGGCAUUAGCACACUGAUCGUUCGGACAUACGUUGGGAGCAUUGUUUAAGGUUUCCAUCAAUUGAGUAUGAUACGUGAAGACAAGACACUUCAAAUCACAAGAGCAACGGUUAAUUCCAAUUUUCACUCUUCAACUAUAUUUUUAUUUUCACUUUAAUUUCUAAAUUUUAAAGUGGAAUACUUUAUUUCUUAAAAAAAUAAAAUUUGUCUGCUUAAAUAAAAUGGUUGACGGAAAUAGGACAUAUUUUAUAUUUAAGUGAGAUACAUCUUAUGCUUUAAGAAUUAAAGUAGAACAAAUUUUAUUCAUAAAUAGAAUACUUUUUAUAUAUAUAUUUUUAGAACUAAACAGUGAAAAAUUUCACUUAAAUUCAAUAGAUUUUAUGUUUUAGAUAUAAAAGUGUCUCGUUUUCAAGUUUAGAUACCAAACUAGGGAUUCAACUAUAGUUAAACGGUGCAACAUAGAAUUAACUCCAAGAGGAAUUUUUUAGUUAUCUGGAAAGAGAAAUAUUUUAUAAAUCUGUCCCCUCCUCAUUAGUGGCUCAAAUUGAACACGGCAGGCUACUAGUGCCCAUAAUGCAUUUAACGUCAUCAUCGCUAAUACGGACGGAUUGUGGUGGCCGGGGUUGGCAUUUUGGGGGACAGUUGAUAGUGCCACUGGCGUGCUUCAAUUUGCCACCAUGACAGUGCCAUCUCAGCCGCCCCACUCUAAAAGAAAAGGAAAUGAAAAAAACUAAAAAUAAUAAUAGAUGUCUAAUGAAUAAUAACAAAUUGUAUUGCUGACGAGACCUUGGUCUAAUAAUUAAGUUGAGAUCCUCCUUCUUUUUUCCUAUUUGUUAAAUCUCAUUCAUUUUCUACUAAAAUAUUUUGAGGAAAGAGAAAAACAAAUUAUAUCUUUUGUGUAGUCGACUUGAACAAAAUACUAAAUAGCUUAGCUCGAUAUACUCGCAAAAAGAAGUGAAGAGACUUUUUGAAAUUAUAGAGAAAUUAUGUUGCAAAAAUAGACUUUUUUUUAAUAUUUUACUGUUGGAAAGAAAUUUACUUUCUUCUUUUUCUUUUCUUCUUUUUCCUCUGUUCUCGAGAAGGUAGUGUUAAAUUAAACUAGCAUGGCAUCAAAUAGGGCUGCAAAUGAAUCGAGCCGUUAAUCGAAAUCGAGCUCGAACUCGAGAUCAAAAUAUUAAACUCGUUAGCUCGCGAGCCGACUUACAAGUUCGAGUAUAUAUCUUUUUUUUUUAAUUUUUUAAUUUAAGUAUAUAUAUUUUUUAUUUUAAGUAUAUAUAUUUUUUAUUUUAAUAGUAAAAUUACAUAUAUAUCCUUAAUAUUUUAUUAUUUAUUAAAAAAUAUUAUUUUAUUUAUUUUUUAAAAAAUACAAUAUUUAUUUUUUAUUUUUUUCGAGCUCGAGCUCGAGCUUGAAAUUGUCAGCUCGUCGAGCUCGAGCUCGAGUUCAAUAAAAUUAAGUCAAGACUCGGCUCGAUUAGGUCAAAACUCAACUCGAUUCGACUCGUUUAAUUUGCAGCCCUAACAUCAAGUCAGUCUCAGCAAUCAAUAGCACUUAAAUGGUCCCAUGAUUAGGCGUGUCAAUUGAGAUUUUUGAGCUAGACUUUGGUAAGCCCAAGCUCAACUCACAAUAAAAAUAAUGUGUGUUUGGAUAUCAAUUUUUUUUAUCAAAAUAUUAUUUACUUGCAUCAUAAUUAUAAUUUUCAAUCAACUCUGUAUGUUCCUAAUAACUUUUUUAUCUUACAUACAUCAUAUCAUAAAAAGUGUUAUAAUAAUUAUUUCAAAUAAUCUCCUAUCCAAACACACUCAUCAUAAUUUUCUUAAAAUUUGCACUAAUGACAAAAGUUACAUCAUCAAUCAUACACCAAUAUCAAAGAACAUAUCUAAGAAGUACGGAGACUACAUAUUUGAAGAAUAAAUAAAAAUUAAAAUAAAAUAAUUGUAACUCCAAGAACAUUUGUGCAUGCUUACAAUCCAAAUGAAGAUGCUUUAAUCUAGUGUCAGUUUUGCUGAAAGGUAGGGAAAAUGAAAUAAAAUGUUCAAUUUGGAAUGAAACACACAUACAAUUAUCACUAUGUAGAUUCCAUAUUAACUUGGCCUAAUAAUAGAGUAGGUAAAAGUUCGCCCGUUAGGGGAUUGCUAUUAUUAUGGUAGAUCAACUUGCAUAAAAAAGAAAAAUUUUUAUAUAAAAACAUGGAUAUAGAUGCUGAGAAGGCCUUAGUUGAAUGGUUAAAAUUAAAACGCCAGAAAUUCGAGAUUUUGGAUUCAAAUUCCUUGUCCCCUCCUGCUUCUUAAGUCGCACAUCUCCCCUGAUGAUGAAAAAGUUUUUUUUUUUUUUUUUUUUUUUUUUUUUGUAAAUGGAUACAGAUAGAGGUCAGGUUCGGUCCAGAAGGUUGAUGUAUGUGUUGUAGAUUCAUCCAAAAGUUUGGCAUAUUUUGUUAUAGGAUCUAUUUUGCAAUCAUUCAACGUAAAAUAGUACACAAAAUUUGUACAUCAACCAUCAAUAAUACUCAUCGAGUACCUUUACGGUUGAGGAAAUAUUACACCGACAUAAUUGAUACUACAACUGGCAGAGAAGAGACUAAACAAGGAUUAACUUAUUUAUGGGUAGAUAAUCAGUCGCACUCCCAAGCCAAGCUGAUAUUGUCUACUUAAGAGGGGGAUUAUAAGUUCAAAUGGUUUUAUAUUUGAUAUUGUCUACCAGUUUAAAAAGGUUUAAGUCAUAACUAAGUAUUGUUGGACUGUCAUACUAAUAGCUUAGAACUAACUUGGAACCACCUGAAGGGAUAUAAAUUUCUAUCUGAGUUGUAAACUUGUAAUUUGUAAGUCUUGAAGGUCUUGAUCUUACACAUUUGAAUUUAAAAAAUUUGAAGUGGGUGCCACUACACCCUUCUAAUCUAAACGGGCCCCAUAUAUAACACAGUUGGGGGUAAUAUAUGUGCUCCCAAUUAUUAAAAAGCAAACAAAAACCUUACCAGCAUUUUGGUCCUAUGUGAGGGCCACAUCUAAUGUGAGAUUGUCCUUAAGCAUAGGUCCAUACUACAAUUUACAAGGAUUCAUGACUUGAUGUCAAGAGGGUUGAAUUAAGACUACUUUCUUGUAUGCUUAAAAAAAAGACUACUUUCUUGUACACCAAACAAAAUAUCGAAAAAACAUAUUUUCUAAAAAGUUUAUUGGGAUGAUUUGAACCCAAGGCUUGGCACUACCUGGACUUUUCUAAAGUGCUGUAAAUUUUUUUUGUUUGGGAUAUUCACAGCAAUGAUGGCUGGAUCACCUCAACCUACUUUAAUUUGCAGCCUGCCGACUUUUCUGCCCUGCCUUAAAAGAAAAGGAAAUUAAAAGUACUUAGAUAUUAAGAAAUGUCAAAUAAGAAACUUUACCUCUUGUGCAGUCAAAUUGGACAGAAAGCAGCUUCGCUCUAACCUAAACUAGAAGAAAGUAAAGUGGCUAUUUUGAAACUACACAGAUUGCAAAAUCUUAAGUAAUAGAUUACCAAAAGGAAAUUUACCAUCUAUUUCUUUUUCGUUCUGCUGAAAGUAGUUUAACCAGCAUGAUUUCAAGCCACAGUACUCAACACAACUUGAAUAGGCUCACGGCGAUGGAUCCCUUCGUGGACUUGACUCGAGUACGCAGCAGGUUCAGUGCAGUGAAGGGUUAAUCCAAGGAAUUAUAAGGAGAAAGUUUCAUUGAGUUCCUCACUCCACCACCAGUUUAGCAGUUACUCUUCACCUUCAGCGUCUCUGAGUCUGGCUCAUUUGUUUAUCAAUUUUGUUUGUUAUUCUGUCAGGCGCACAGAGUCUGCUGAAGUCAAGUCCAACGAGGAGUCCAUUAUCUUGAGCCUAGCUACUGGCUUCAAAUGAGCACAUUUUUUGAUGAAUUAUUUCAUUUUUAUCUGUCAAAAUAUAUAUAUAAUCUUUUAUGUAUGAAGUUGAAACUACUAAUUAAGUUCGUAUAUUUUCAAAAGUUAUCUUCUUAAACAUAUAAAACCAUUAUAUACAUGUAAUUAGGAAUACGAAAGUGAUACUUGAACUCCCAAAUUACUCUUUUGCAUUCGCUGAUGGCAUUUCAUUGAGUGAAUAGAUUAAUGUUAGAAAGGCUAACAUAGGAAUGCGAAUAUCACUCAUCACUACAAGAAAAUUACCAUUUAAUGACACUCAAAAAUGCCUCUUUUUGUAUGUUUUAGUGACAAUUUUUAAUCUAAUAGCAUUUCCCCCGAGUGUUGGCAAUAUCACUGCCACUAUAGUCUAGUGACACUUGAAAAGUGCCACAAAAGAGUUACUAUGAUAACAUUUUAACAUUUCAUUGUACUAGGGAUAUGUGUCAUGAGAAGAUGCCACUAUGUCAUUUUUUUUGGGUGUUUGCGAAUGCCAACAAUUUAAGUUUUGAUACAACUUUAAAUGCCACUAUUUAAAACUUUCCUGUCACUUUGAAAUGCCACUAAAAAAUUAAGAAAAUAAAAAAAUAAUUUGAAAUUAAAAAUCAAAGUACUCUUAUUGAUCCGGGUAAUUAAUUACAACUCAAGAAAAUGAAAGUUUCGCCAAUUAAACAAGUCACUAACUAAUAAAUCUAGUAAGAAAUUAUAUGACAACAAUAUAAACAAAUUCAUGCAUUUUACAAAUGAAACAUGUCUAAAGACAUUAAUCUUUUAAGCUGAUAACUUGGAAAAGAUCAUGUCUUCUUUGCUUCAUUAAUCUCUCAAAUGCUAUGUAAUCUGCAUUUAAACAAUACAAUGAAUAUAUUACCUCUUCUCAAGGAUUAGUUAGUAAAAAUAUUAACUCAACUCAAGAUAUUAGCAAUAGUGGUUGAAAAAUUAACAAUGAUCAAAGUGGGAAGUAAAAUGGGGCACCUUGAACUUGCCAUAGAGAUACUAAAGUGAUAGGUUGUCGAGCCUAUGCAAUAAUAAAUACCUGCUCAAACAAAAGUUAAUUUCUGCAGAUAGUAAUAAGUAGGGUCAAAUCCAUAGGGAUUGGGGAUAUUUGUCUCUUUUGGAGUUCAAACUAACAAUGGGGGGUUUUUAUAGUAAUGACAAUGAUUAAACAGUUCGAAUAAAAUCAAAUAGCUAACUAAAAAGUAAACGACAAGUCACUAAAAUUAGAUUAAUGAUAACUAAAGUUCUAGCCAAGAAAUAACUUCAGCAAUGGUUCACCUAAUUGAUCAUCAAUGCAAAGGCAAUUCCAAUUAUUUACUAAUAAAUAGGUUAUAACUGUCAAACAAGCGAUGACAGUCAACCCUUCCUUACUGUGUCGGUGAUUAAGGUAUACCCAUUAACCACUACUCUAAUUGAGAAAUAAUCAUAGGUACGCCCGUAAGAUUUAAUUCUCUAAUUGCCUUACGUAUUAGAGGAGUCCUGUUCUAACCAAAUAACGCACUACCAGGGUUAUUUUAUGUUAGCCCGCGUAUUCCCCUGACACAAACCCAAUCAUGCUAGUUGUCACUAUUUCAGGGCAAUUAAACAAUUACAGAUUUAACGCUCCAUUUGACAAUAGAUUACUAAAUUAACUAAUUAUCUGGAUCCAAGACAAUCAAUUAAUUGAAUAACCAUGAACACUGUAAUCAGAGAAUAUGCGAAUAUCAAUAAAUAAAAGAAAAAGAUAAAAUUAAAUCGAUCUCACAAUUUUUAGGCGAACCAAAGCCUCAGUUGUUCCUUGACUAGAAAAGGUAGUUUUGUUCAUCUUUAACGAAUAAAGCCCACAGGAGAUCGAAGCAACCGUAGCAGCCAUUGACUCCAAAAUUGAGAAAAUUCAAUUCGGUUCAGCAAUGAAGAAAAAGUCAAGAUUACAAAGAAUGCCCAAUUGCUUUUCUUUGCCUUCACAUCUGAUGGAAGCAAAAGCACAAUAAGAUGACAAGAGGAAAAGUCAAAAGAAAAGCUAAGCUAGAGGUCCUACCAUACGAAGAAAGAAAAACUACCCAAGAAAAGUCAAUGGAAAGCUAUUUAAUAUCUAGUUCCUACUGCUACUGUCCGGCGUCCGCGGCCAUGAAGAGACCGAAGAAAACUCUAGCCUUUUUAUCCUCUUUCCAUGUUGUCUUCCGCCAAAUUACCAAAGAGGGUCGUAUCCUCAUAUUUCAAAAAUGCCCUUGGACGCCUGCUACUUGAAUUCUUUUCCGAUGACUGUCAAAUUGGCCUUGGUUGUGGUAUUUUCAUUCUACUCCCUAAAAUAAAUGUAAAUUACGAAAAGUGAGUAGAGUCUAAUAACUGAUUCACAUCAAGUCAGGUAAUAGGGGAAAUUAACAAUAAAAUAAAUGAUAAAAUAGUAACCUAUCAAUUCCCCCCCACACCUAAACCCCUCUUGUCCUCAAGCAUAAGAACAAUAAACAAAUACCAAUAUUUGACAAUAGCUAUUGCUCCACCUACCAUAUUGCCAAGAUACCAAGAAAAAUAUAUCAAGCAUCAGCGAUCAAAAUCAAAGAAACAUCACUGUGAUUAGCUUCUAAACCACAAACUCCUUUAAUUGCAGGUUAACUAAUCUAAGAAGAAGGAAUGACGCACAACAUUUAUCAACAAAUGGUCUAACUAUUAACCAAAAUCUCAACAUUAAAUCCAUAAAUCGGUAGGCUGACUUUUAUUAUACACUAACACAACAUUCACUUCUUUUUUCAUGUUUUUCUAUUUUUCUGUUUUUUUAAUAGUAACACAAGACUUAGUCCCUGUCCAUUGGAGUUUUUUGACGCGAACUCCGACAUUUGUCAGAUGAAAGAGCUCGGUUACUCAGUUCCUAUCGCAUGUGACCACACACUCAUAGCAAUUACUACUUUUUGACGCGAGAAUUGACACUUUUGGUGAAAAUCCCCGAUUACUUGGUAGUAACUACUAGCGGAGUACAGUCAACUCUUAUUCACAGCUAAAUAACACAAAAAAUUCAAAAUAACACAAAAUCAAAAGAAAAUUUACAUCAGCUAGCUUCAUUUUCAAACAUGGAGAACGAAGGUUAAUAACCGGACCAAUUUACAUGAAAAUGCCAACAGUUAUUUUCUAUAUCUAGGAAAGUUAACCAAAAAUUAUAAAAGUCACACAGUCGUCGAUAUUCACCAUAGAGAUAUUCUUAGACUCAACCACAUCUACUUAAUACACUUCCAUUACUAAAACUUGGCAAUAGCAGAAAUAGAGACAACAAUCAAACAUCAAAUUUUGGCAUCACAUACGAGCUAAUCACUAAAAAGAAAGAAAGAUUGACAAAUAACAAACUAAAAUGAAAGCAAAAACAUCUAAAAAACUAAAUAGUAGAAAAACUAGCACAGCUGCCCCCUCACACCUAGACCCUACAUUGUCCUCAAUGGAGGAAUUAAAGCAAUUAAAGCGAAGAGGACAUCGAAACUUCCCUCUCGAGUGGCUACGAGGUAGGCGGGAACGGUAGAGGGAAACCGAUGUGGUGGAAGUACGCGCCCAAGUUCUUCACUGGUUGUCGAGGGAAAAAGUAGGAAUGGAUGCGAGAGAGAGGGUGGCGCGCGAAGUAGAUGCGACGACUGGUGGUAGAGGUUGCGCGAUUGGAGUGAGAGAGAUUGGAGUGGUGGCGCACGAUGGUAGAAAAUGAGGAAGAAAGAAGAAGAAGAAAGAAAAAAAAAAGAAAAGAAGGAAAAGAAGGAAAAAGAAAAAGAGAAAGAAUUUUUUUUUUAAUUUGCAUCUUGCAGAUCUAAGCUACAGUUAAACAAAUGAUUCUUUUUUUGUCUUUUUCGAAUUAAUUUAUUAUUUAUCUUUUUUAAAAAAUUUAUUUUAUUUUAUUAUUUUUUUAAAGAAAUUUUUUUUCCAAAUUCGAAAUUAGAGAUAAGAAGGAAAGCGAAAUAUUUCUUGAGAUUUGAAAACUUAUCUUUCUCGCGAAAAUAAUGCGGGCACAUUAUGAAGGCUAGAACCCUUUUGAUGAUGAGCUCUCCAUACGACUUGACGUAGGAGCGUCAUGAGGGUCCGAACCCUUCUGAUCAUGAGCUCUCCAUACGACUUGAUGCGAGCGCGUCAUGUCAGAGAGAUACCUACGGAUCAUCAAAAACGAGAAUUGAAGCCUGAAAUCAGUCAAACUCAAGGAAAACAUAUUUAAACUAAUAAACAAAAUCAAACAAAUAACUAAAAGAAAUUGGGUUGCCUCCCAAUGAGCGCCUUUUUUUAAUGUUUUUGGCUAGACAUUGAACAUUAUUCUUAAAUCUGGGUGUAACUCAAUUUUUCUUGUAAUCGAUGGCCCUCCUCCAGGAUCCAAAUAGCCUUUAAGUGCAUCCUUCUUUCUUAAUUUUCUACUCCUUUUCACCUCAUACAUUGCUUUCAUCCCCUUAUACUUGUUCUCAGUAAAUUUGAAUUUGCCUCUACAAGUAAACUCAGAAAAAUUCUUGCACAGAAAGAUUAAUAACAUGAAUAGCAAACCAGAGUAAGAGUUAACAAGAUGUUCCAUUGUAUCUAAAAUAUUAAAGUGGACUAGUUCUCCAUCAAAUUCCAUAGACAAUGUACCCUUAUUAACGUUAUUUUUGUCUGGGCUGUACUAAAAAAUGGUCUACCUAAUAGCAAAAGUAAAGGGUCGGGAGAAUGGUCAUCAUCCAUGUCAAGUACAUAAAAGUCAGCCGGAAAUACCAAUUCAUUAACUUUAACCAGCACAUCCUCAACCAACCCAUCAGGGUAUGCAUUUGUUCGGUCAGCUAAUUGGAUUAUUAUCUCAAUUUCUUUUAAUGGACCGAGGUUCAGAGAAACAUACAUAGAUUUAGGCAUUACGUUGAUCGAUGCUCCUAAGUCCAGCAGGGUAUUCCUAAUCAAAGUAUUACCUAUCUUAUAUGGGACAGUAAACCUACCUGGAUCCCCGUACUUCGGUGGAAGCUUCCUUUGGAGAACUGCUAAUACGUUCUCCCCCACGAUGACCCUUUCAUCUCCCCUCAACUGCUUUCGGUUGACACAUAGGUCCCUUAAAAACUUUGUAUACUUCGACACUUGAUUGAUGGUGUCUAACAGGGGAAUAUUGAUCUUUGUCUUGCGGAACACCUCCAGGAUCUCCUUUUCCUUAUCCUGCUUCCACAGUUUCUCUAACUUACUAGGAAAGGGAGGCGGGUUAGUUCUAACUGUAAUGACUGGAUUAGGAAGUACCUUUUGAUUUGGGCCAUUGCUGUCCUCCUUCUCAAGCUCAUUCUCGAUCCUUUCCUCAUCUUUGUCCUUGGGAAUCGUGAGUUCGGGCUCUUGAAUUUCCUUCCCGCUCCUUAAAGUCAUCGUACUUAUGUUCUUCAAGUUCAAUUUUAGGUUGAGACGCAAUUUUUCAUAAACUUGGGAUUCCAGGUGAUUGAUUGCCACUGCCAUCUGAUUCAUCUGAUUUUGCAUUACUUGUACCUAUUCCAAUUGAUUUCUUAUGUUCUGCAGUUCGGAGUCUGUCUUUUGCUGAUGUUGCACGGUGGUAGCCAUAAGUUGUUUCAUCAUUUUCUCCAAAGAUGGACUAGAACUUAGUGGCGGAGAUGGUCGGGGUUGGUACUGCUGCUGGUACCUUUGUUGUCUAUUUGACACAAAGUUAGGAUGCCUGUUCCCUCCAUAGCUGAGGUUAGGAUGGUGUCUUCAGCCGAGAUUAUACGUAUUCGAGUACGGUUCAUAGGGCAUUCUUGGCGCAGGCGCGUGAUCAGCCAUGUUCACUUUCUCUGCACUUUGUUCUUGAAUUAUCGGGCACAUAUCUGUAGAAUGACCCAUAGUAGUGCAAAUUCCACACACCUUGGCCUGAGAUGCGUUUCCUACAACCAGUUGCCUAACAAACGAGGUUAACUCCGUCAACUGCUGUCAGAUAGAAGAUGUCUCUACCUCAUUUACCUUGCGUAUCGGGACAUCCUCUCUCGUACCAAACUAUUGUGAAUUCUCGACCAUUCCCUCAAUUAGCUCCCAUGCUGCCCGAGGGGUCUUGUUCACCAGUGCCCCUCCACUCGCAGCAUCAAUGAUACUCCUGUAUCUGAAGAUUAGCCCCUCGUAAAAAUAUUGUAUGAGUAACUGCUCACUUAUUUGGUACUGAGAGCACUUGAUGCACAAUUUCUUGAAUCGCUCCCAGUAGUCGUAGAGUGACUCCCCUGGAUGCUGUUUGAUACCACAGAUCUCCUUUUUUAGACUUGCAACUUGGGACGCGGGAAAAUACUUGUCUACAAACUUUUUCUUCAACUAGUCCCACGUGGUGAUACUACCUGGUGGUAGGUAGUACAACCAGUCUUUUGCGAAGUCCUUCAAGGAGAAGGGGAAUGCCCUCAUUUUUAUUUGCUUUUCUGUGAUACCCGGGGGUUUCUACUAUUGCACACGAUAUCAAACUCUUGCAAAUGCUUAUAUGGCUCUUCACCUGACAAACCAUGAAAGGAUAGUAAAAGAUGAAUUAGACCAGAUUUGAAUUCAAAUGGAGUAUUAUCAUUUAAAUUUGGGAAAAUAAUACACAAAGGCUGUUGAUUUAAAUCAAGAGCAGCCAACUCCUUUAAUGUUCGUGCGUUUGUCAUAGUGAAUUCUUCUUGAUCCGAGUCACUUGAAGUGUCAUCAAACGAAUCUGUUGGUUCAACUUCUAACUCAGGUCUCUGAGAUGCAGCACUGGAGUACUUUUCCCUGAGUUGUCUGGUCUAUUUUUGUGUUCUCCGUGCGGUCUUCUCUAUCUCAGGGUCAAAAAUUAAUUCACUUGUACGAGAAUAACGAGGCAUACACUCAAAAGGUACUAGAAAAUUAGAACAAAAAUAAACUUAAAAAGAAACAAAUAACUAGCACCAGUCCUCAGUAACAGCGCCAAAAAUUGACAGGUUGUCGAGCCUGUACAAUAAUAAAUACCUGCUCAAACAAAAGUUAAUUUCUGCAGAUAGUGAUAAGUAAGGUCGAAUCCAUAUGGACUGGGGAUAUUUGUCUCUUUUGGAGUUCAAACUAACAAUGGGGGGUUUUUAUAGCAAUGACAAUGAUUAAACAGUUCGAAUAAAAUCAAAUAGCUAACUAAAAAGUAAACGACAAUUCACUAAAAUCAGAUUAAUGAUAACUAAAGUUCUAGCCAAUAAAUAACUUCAGCUAUGAUUCACCUAAUUGAUCAUCGAUGCAAAGGUAAUUCCAAUUAUUUACUAAUAAAUAAGUUAUAACUGCCAAACAAGCGAUGACAGUCAACCAUUCCUUACUGUGUCGGUGAUUAAGGUACGCCCGUUAAUCACUACUGUAAUUGAGAAAUAAUCAUAGGUACGCCCGUAAGACAUAAUUCUCUAAUUGCUUUACGUAUUAGAGGAGCCCUGUUCUAACCAAAUAACGCACUACCAGAGUUAUUUUAUGUUAGCCCGCGUAUUCCCCUGACACAAAUCCAAUCAUGCUAGUUGUCACUAUUUCAGGGCAAUUAAACAAUUACAGAUUUAAUGCCCCAUUUGACAAUAGAUUACUAAAUUAACUAAUUAUCUGGAUCCAAGACAAUCAAUUAAUUGAAUAACCAUGAACACUAUAAUCAGAGAAUAUGCGAAUAUCAAUAAAUAAAAGAAAAAGAUAAAAUUAAAUCGAUCUCACAAUUUUUAGGCGAAUCAAAGCCUCAGUUGUUCCUUGACUAGAAAAGGGAGUUUUGUUCAUCUUUAACGAAUAAAGCCCACAGGAGAUCGAAGCAACCGUAGCAGCCAUUGACUCCGAAAUUGAGAAAAUUCAAUUCGGUUCGGCAAUGAAAGAAAAGUCAAGAUUAGAAAAAAUGCCCAAUUGCUUUUCUUUGCUUUCACAUCCGAUGGAAGCAAAAGCACAAUAAGACGAAAAGAGGAAAAAUCAAAAGAAAAGCUAAGCUAGAGGUCCUACCAUACGAAGAAAGAAAAACUAUCCAAGAAAAGUCAAAGGAAAGCUAUCUAAUAUCUAGUUCCUACUGCUACUGUGCGGCGUCCGCGGCUAUGAAGAGACCGAAGAAGACUCCAGCCUUUUUAUCCUCUUUCCAUGUCGUCUUCCGCCAAAUUACCAAAGAGGUCGUGUUCUCAGAUUCCAAAAAUGCCCCUGGAUGCCUGUUACUUGAAUUCUUUUCCGAUGAUUGUCAAAUUGGCCUUGGUUGUGGUAUUUUCAUUCUACUCCCUGAAAUAAAUGUAAAUUAUGAAAAGUGAGUAGAGUCUAAUAAUUGAUCCACAUCAGGUUAGGUAAUAGGGAAAUUAAUAAUAAAAUCGUAACCUAUCAUAAAGGCAUUCCAACAAAGAAACCUCAACACUCGCCAAUAUUUCUAAAAUAAAAAAAGGAAAUAGUACCAUCAAUUUAUAUUUAAUCCUAAAACUUGAGAAAAAGAGUAAAUCAUCUAGUAUUUGAACCAUAUAGUACCUAAUGCUUGACCAUCUUUGAACCUACAACCACACCUUUUGGUCUGCGUAGAAAUUAUACAUCACAAAACUAGCAUCACAUACAAGGUGAAUGGGAUGUUGGCACAUUUCACCACAUAAUAAUUAACUGAUAACAACAUGCACUGCACUUUUUAUUAUUUUUUGGGGGCAUUGCACCAACAUAGGAUGACUUAAUGUAAAUGAAUUCUAAUUGAUACUUAGUUGUCUAAUCAUACCUAUCAUUACAAUUUAACACACAUUUUUGUUAGAAUAUGGCAAAUAAAGACACUUCAUACUAUAUGAAUUUCACUAAAAGUCCUACAAUUAUGUUUUUGAAAUGCUAAGUAAUAUGCUUUUUUUUCCUGGCCUACUGAUUGUGCUUUACAUUUCCAAGGUUUAUGCAAAGAGCAUCAUACUAUCUCUCUUAGUCAAGUAAUACAAUUCUUUCCCUUUCUUGAGACAAAUUUCCAAAAGCAUCUCUAAACCUAGCUUGGCAAAAAAAAAAAAAAGAAGAGAUCAUGUUAUUAACACUAUGAAAGUACAAUGAUACAAUGAUUGUGAAAGAAAGAAGAUUUUAACACUAGAGUAAUCAAUACAACUACUCAAAGGAAAGAAAAAAAUUGAAAUAACUGAUAUUUCUUGUCUUAGAAUUGUACCCAUAAUCACGAAAUAUAAAAUGAUAAAAUAGACAAAAACCUAUAAACUAUUGUUUUGUUCUAUGGAAUUUAGAGAGGACAAAAAGUACCUUUAAUGAUUUCUUGUGAUGGUAGAUAACAAUGGAAUUGAGAUGCUAGAUGAUAGGGUUUGUGGAUAAAGAGACUUGUAGAGAAUGCAAGAUUGAAAAAAUUUUAGUGAGUUUCAAUGUUUGAGGGAUUUACUUUGAUACUUAUCAGUUAAGAGAAGGAGUAAAUCAAGAAAGGAAACCUCAUCAAUUAGGCAAGAAAAUCUCAUCCACUUAGCAAACUGUGUUUUUAUUUUCAUUUUUUAAGAAAAUGCCAGUAAAACUUUUGAUCUAAUGACAUUCAAGUGCUAUUGAUUGUUAAAAUUGACUUCAUGCCUUAAUGGUUUAAUUUAACACUACUUUCUCGAGAACAGAGACAAAAAUAAAAAAAAGAGAAUAAAUUUCUUUUCAAAAGUAAAAUAUUAAAAAAAAUCUAUUUUUUUCACAUAAUUUCUUUAUAGUUUUCAAAGUCUCUUCACUUCCUUUUGCGAUUAUAUCGAGUUGAACUAUUUAGUUUUUUGUUCAACUUGACUACACAAAAAAUGUAAUCUAUCCUUUUUUUAAAAUAUUUUAGAAGGGGAAUGGUGAAAUUUAAGAAAUGAAGGAGAAAAAAGAUUUCAGCUUUAACUAUGACAUCAAUAUCUCAGCAAUACAAUUUGUUAUUACUUGCAAGACAUUUAUUAUUACUUUUAGUUAUUUUCAUUUUCUUUUCUUUUAGAGUAGGGCGGAUGAGCUAGCACCGUCAUGGUGGCAAAUUGAAGCACGGCAGUGGCACUAUCAACUAUCCCACCAAAUGCUGACCCCGGCCACCACCAUCCGACGUGAUUACCAAUUCAAAAGGAAAGAAAAAAUUAUAUCACUUCAUAAGCAGCCCGUAUUAGCAUGAUGUUAAAUGCAUUACGGGCACUAGUACCCCACCAUGUUCAAUUUAAGCCACAAAUAAAGAGGGGACCGAUUGAUAAUCUUUCUUGAUAACUGAAAAUUCCUCUUGGAGUUAAUUCCAUGCUGCAUCAUGUAAUUAUACUUAAAUUCCUUUUUUGGCAUCUAAACGAAAUGGAAAUCGGGUUUUCCAUUUUUGAAAUAUACGAAUUUGGUCCGAAUUCGAUAAUGAAUUUUCUGAAUUUGAAAUCAAAAACUGUAAGAGAUAUCCCAUAGGGGUUACUUUGCAAGAUUAUCAUCUGCAGGGUCCUUACUGACGGUUUCUGCAACCUUGUAACAGAUAUUUGUUCCUAUAUUCACCUUCUAAUUAUACUUUUGUUAUCCCAACUUCAACUCGAAAUGCACAUCAAGUUCAUAACCAAUGGAGCAAUCAAUAUAUGACAUGAGAGCUAUAGAAUCCAAGAGAAACGCAUUGGAAAUCAUGGGAACAACUUCAUGGUUUGUGAACUUGCUACGAGUACGGUUAUCGGAAUAAUUAAUUUCUUUGUUCGCCAUUAAAGAUGACAUUUCAUCAUAUGCUUAGUGUGGUACCCAGAAUCAUCCUCCUCAAGAUGAUCUCUCCCGGACACUUUCGAAUCUGAGUAGUCAUCUUGUAGUUUAGAUGUCCAGUGAGCCGAGGACAUUCAUAACAAGAAGUGAUUGAUGCGACACAUUACAAGCUUUUGCAGGUCUAACCUCUUGCACUAGUAGAUCUAGAGUCGACCUAUAGCUGCACCCUGCCCUAUCAAUGCGGCCUGAAACCCAAGGACACCUCUCACGUUUCACUAUAAUUACCCCUCUUUUCUUAGACCCCAGAGGUAACUGUUUCUUAAUUCUCACAUGUAACUUAUGUCUGAGCUGUUAACUCCUGCUAAGUUAAGCAUCGGAGCCAAAUUGGGGGAAUACUCCAUCUCUGCUUUUGAUAUCAUACAGGAAAUCCGAACUAGAGUUCAUCGAUCUCCAGUCUUCUUGGGAGUUUCGACCGUGACUCUACAAUUGGCACUGUUCGUAGGAAGUGAAGUAAAUACAGUUGCUCUACUUUCUCAUGACUAAGACUUGCUCUAAUCGUGGAAACAAGAACCCCCGAACUUUUGGGAGCCGUAUAGCCAAUCCAAGGGAUUAGGACAUACUAGAGAAUUCACAGCCUCAUGGAGAGGUCAUAGCUCGAGUGGCCAAGUUUGUGGCCUCCAGUUCAGGGUUUUUUGAAGAGAUUGUUAGGCAUAUGAAAGGUAAGGAUAGAGGCGAAUCUGUUCAGAGAUAACCCGAAGAGUCUUCUUUGUCUUCUUUCGAGGGUGACUCGGAUGACCAUCACAUACUCCAAGAGGAAGAAGGAAAAGAACCUUUCUAAAUUGCAAGGCAAAGUGCAUUCUAAAGUUUCCUCAGUUUUCGAGAGCACUGCUCAAGAACCCAUUCAAGAGGGAUGACACAAGUGAACGGUCUAGAUACGGAUCGACCCUUUACGGAGAUAACAUGCCCCCUUCACCCCUAACAUUAACGAAGAAGUUUUUCCAACGAACUUUGAAGAGGUGAUUUUAGUCCCGCUGGGUGAACCUUCCGAACUGAAGAAGUGUUUUGUCUUCGGCAAGGCACUGGGACGAGGUCACCUGCUUAGGUUACAGGAGGGGCUGAAUCCCCCGGUGUAACUUCGAAACUUAAGUUAGUUCGGUAGUGAAAAAGUAAUAUAGUGGAGAAGAUCAGUAUAGUUUUACCAGAAAUUAGUCAUCCUCCUUCUCAGUAGAGGUGUUGAGUAUUUAUAGAAGACUGAUUUGAAGAGGAACUGUUGGCACGAGUUCCGAGAGAUCUGAUACGGAUAUCAUAUCAAUUUGAUAUGAUAUCCCUGCGAAAAGGUGCGUCGGAACAGGUAUUAGAGUCAGGCGGCGCAUGUGUCAGAACAGCUCUCCGUCAAGUGUCAGAUGUGUCAGGGGUCACAUCAUCUUUCCACAGUUGUCAAGUCGUUUGGGCAUCACCUCGGCUCACGCUUCGAAGAUCUCCGCCGAGGUGAUAAACGGGUCAGGACUACCUCACUAAAUGACGCGCCGAGGUGGCACUUCCAGUAGUCUUGCAGGGUGAGGCCCCACCCUAUCCGGGCUGAAACGACCAUCCUCACUAAGCCCCCCAAGCUUCGAGAAGGGCGAGAUCGUGGUUUCCCGAGGUCGUUGCUUCCCGAAGUUGACAAGCGUGUAAGGCACGGGAUCCAGCAAUCAUGGCCAUGUGGAUGGGACUGCUGAGGAACUGACAUGAUGGCUGUCAAUCGUGACGGCAGGUUCAUGAACAGGCUCGAGAUCAGCAGGACGAACAGCCUUUUCAUUAAUGAGGAGAGAGAGAAUGCGCCCUCGAGAAUCUCAAAGAUACCGCCUCUUCAUUUUCCCCCUGGGUGCCUAUAAAUAGAAGCCCCUUUUCACCGUUUCACUCUUUACCAAAAAUCUAAAAUCACCUUAGAGCUCUGUUCCUGUGUCCUUUCACUUCGGCAAUUCCUCGAGGCAGAAAGACCCGACCCCUCCGAGGAGAGAACUGCGUCCGAUGUCGGGGAAGGAGUGCCGAGGCGUCUCACCGAGCCGGAACAUCUGGAGGGCAUCACGAGGAGAUCGAGGUCGAAGCCGAGGUCCUGUACAAUGAUGAUCUCGGGAACGAGGUCCCUAGGGACGAGGGCGUGCAAGAGCCUUCCACUCCUCCGAACUUGACAACACUUAAUUACGGCCAGAUGCCAGCCUUCAGUAGUAUUAUGGGACAAGCCUCCGUAGCCGAGGUGGUCCGCAAGUAUCAUUGGAGAAGGGAUUACAGCAUCUAUUUGCCCCAACCACACCAGUCAGCCGCAUUGCCACCGAAGGGUAGGGUGGCCAUCUACGUGGACCAACUGGAGGCCGGGCUCAGAGUGCCAACAACAAAGUUUCUUCGGGAAUGCUUGAGGUAUUGGGGGGUGAGGAUCACUCAACUCACCCCGAAUACCAUUCGUGUCCUCGUCGGCUUUCAACUGCUUUGCCGACAUCAGGAAAUAGAGCCCACUGUCAACCUCUUCUGCCGUUCUUACUCGCUUAAGAACAGCGGGAGCGAGAAGAGUUGGUUUUACUUCGGGAAUAAAGUUCCGAAGUUAGUGGUAGACGCCUCGAGCUCGAUAAAGGAAUGGAAAAGAAACUUUUUCUUCGUCCCGGCAGAAGACUUCCCACGGGGAUUCUGGUGGAGGCCUCCCACCUCAGUCAAAGAGACGUCCCCGGGCAUGUUAGAGGAGCGCAACUUCCAGAAGUUAACGGGGUCGGACCUCAGGAUUAAUUGCUGGGACUUUCCCGAAGUGGUGGUCGUAGAAGGCGGGAUCAGCCGAGUCUUGAUCAGCUCGGACCACCCCGUCUUCUUCUCUACUAGGUUUCAAAAACCUUGUACUUUUCCAUUUCCCUUUUUUGUUUAUUCUUCAUGAAUUCUAACUAACUCUUUUUCACACUAUGCAGUGGUGAAGGUUUCCGACCUGAUAACCUCGGAAAACAUCGAGGUGGUGAAGAGACCACCCAAGAAGCGUAAGGAUGCUGCUGAACCCUCCACCAGGCCUGCCAAGAACACCACUGCAGCUACGGGCGACCGCGAGCCUGCCGUGGUGAUAGUGGGCGAAGGCUCCCAUACCUCGACCACUCUCGGAGGUUCCCGAGCCUCGGCUAUUCCUGUCCCUAUUCGAGGGGUCACGAUAGCCACUCCACCUUGGGGUCAGGGCGUGACUGCGUUCCCGGAUAACCCCGUCACGAGGUCUUCGCUAUUCAACCUCUACCAUGUGCCUUCCAAAGCGGCCGGGGAGGACAAAAGGCACUCCGGAGCACAUUGGUGUCCCGAGUGGGAGGUGAACGUCAAUGACCGCUGCAAGAACCCCCUGGUCGUACAUGAGCUUCUGGUGCAUUCGGUGUUGCCGCGAGAUAACACUUAUGCCAGAAAGCUCACUCCAGGUGAGCUGAUGCAAAGUGCCUCGGUCUCAUGGGCCUCCACCACGGCCUUCUUUGUUGAGAUGAUCCAACGUUACGGACAUUUCAUGAAAAACUACGAGCCACCUGCCGAGUUCCAGAAGAAGAUUGCCGACCUGGAAGAGAAGCUGAGGGCAACCGAGCUGGAGCGCGACAAAGCCGAGGCAGCGAAGAAGAAGGCCGAAGUCGCGAACAAUUCCCUGAUAACUGCCCUUGAUGAGGAGAGAGAGAAGGGUCCAAAAAGAACAGUCGACCAAGGAGGCAAUAGACAAGGUCGGGGUCACUGCCGUGGAGGCCUUCCGGAAGUCGGAGUUUUUCACCCACGACCUCGGCGAGCUCACACGCCCAAACUUUAUGUUCGACUACACGUCGGCUGUUAACGAUGCUAUGCCCUUUCUCUCUUCUGAGCAGCUGGAGUCCCUUCAAAGCGCUCCUCACUACAACGAAGAUGCCAAGGAGCUGUGCGACCGUAUGGCCGAGGGCGUCCAAGCUGAAAAAGAUCUAGCCGAAGUUCAUGUUGAGUUCAACAAAUGACUUCAGGAGUUUGAGCUAGACGGUGAUGGCCUUGAAGGGAAUCAGUCCGGCGGAGGAGCUGAGGGACAGCAGGACGCCGAGGCGGCGAAGAAGAGACUAUGGGGGAGUAAGGCUCCGGGGCAGGGAAUGCUUAGAAGCAUCCCUUUUUUCCAUGACCUCGGUCUUCUACUUUUUGUACUUGUGCUUCAAUUCAAUUGACUUCAUAUUUUUGCAAUCUUUUUAAUUGAGUUCGGUUUUCUUUUCUUUACUGCUGUUGUCCCCUUAUUUUUCACUUGUAAUGAAAUGGGAAGAAGUGAGAAAUAACUCAAAACUUAAAAUUAAAAGUACGUACCCUUCAAGGGUAAUACAGUUUAAGAUUUUCAGCAUGCCGAGUUCGGAGCACCCGAAAUCCAUCUCGAUAUGCCAAUUUACAGUAUCCAUUUUGGCUGGACUCAACGACACGGUAUGGUCCCUCCCACUUGGGGUUCAGUUUACCCUGGGGUUUAGCUCGGCUGACCGAGUUCUUCCGGAGCACAAGGUCUCCCGGAUUGAACCGCAAGUGUCUGAUCCGAGCAUUGUAGUAGCCAGUUAGGAUAUUUUUUUAAAGAGCGACUUUGGCUGCAGCCAUAUCACGCUUCUCUUCGGCGAGGUCGAGGUCAACUCGCCGUUCAUCUUCAUUAACUUCAGCGGCGUACGCUGCCAUUCGUGGGUUCGGAGUGAUGAACUCGGCUGGGACGACAGUUUCGGACCCAUAAAUUAAAGAAAAUGGAGUUUCUUGGGUUGCUGACCUCGGCGUGGGUCGAUAGGACUACAACACGCUGGAAAUUUCUUCCAUCCAGGACGACCCAACCCGGUGGAGCCUGGUCUUGAGGCCAUAAAGGAGAGUGCGGUUGAAGUUUUCGGCCUGUCCAUUGGCUUGGGGGUGUCCAACCGAGGUGAAAUGCUGUUUGAUUCCCAAGUUUUCGCACCACGCUUUGAAAGGAUUAUCUGCGAACUGCCGGCCAUUAUCCGAGAUGACCACCCGGGGUAGGCCGAAGCGAUAAACCACGCUCUUUCAGAAGAAUUUUUGAACGGCUGCUCCGGUGAUACUUCUCAGAGGCUUUGACUCGACCCAUUUGGUGAAGUAAUCUACUGCCACCACUACGUAGGCGUAGUUGCCUGGAGUUCUAAGAAAUGGGCCGAUUUUGUCAGUCCCCCAUUGCUCGAAGGGCCAUGGCGAGGUGAUGGGAAUCAUGAAAUUAGUCGGCUGGUGGUGCUCAGGGGCGUGGUACUGGCAAGACGGACAACUAAGGACCAUGACCUGGGUAUCCACCCUCAUGGUGGGCCAGAAAUACCCAAGCAACAAAACUUUUUUGACGAGCAUCCUGUAGCCGACGUGAGCACCACAAAAUCCCUCGUGUAUGUCUUGCAGGAUUCUGUUACCUUCUUCCUGUGUAAUGCACCGCAGCCAAGGACCGAGGUACGACCUCUUGUAUAAGAGAUUUUGCCCAAAAGCGUACCGAGCUGCUUUGCGCUGCAGCUUUCUCAACUCAGCUCGGUCCUCGGGGAGCUCCCCCUGGCUGAGAAAUCGGAUCAAAGGCUCCAUCCAGAUGUCCCCAAGAUAGAUAGGGUACACGACCUCUCCUUUGUACCUCGGCUCGGCCAAUACUUCUAUGAGAACCGUCUUGUUCAGGUCAGAAAAAGAGGUAGAAGCGAGCCGGAGAGGGCAUCAGCCCUCCUGUUUUGUGACCGCGGUAUUUUUUGGAUUUCAAAAGACUCGAAAUGUGCCACCAAUUGGAGGACCUUGGAGAGGUAGCGGUUCAUCACCUCUUCCCUGGCCUCAUAUUCGCCCAGUAUCUGGCACACAACGAGUUAGGAGUCGCUAUAGACCAAAAUGUGCGCGGCCCCGAGUUUACGAGCUAGUUGUAGGCCGGCAAUGACUGCUUCGUAUUCGGCCUCAUUGUCAGAAGCGGCGAAGUCAAACCUUAAGGCGUAUGAACACACCUCUCCCUGGGGGUCUUCGAGGAGUAAGCCCGCCCUACUACCCUCACUAUUAGACGAGCCAUCCACAUGCAAAAUCCAACGUUGGAGCUCGGCGGCAGCCGAGGUGGUCUCCUUCACCUCAUCAAAAGUGAGUUCGGCGAGAAAAUCCGCAAGGGCCUGUGCCUUGAUUGCGGUACGAGACUCGUAAGACAAGUCGUACUCCCCCAGCUCGAUGGCCCAUUUAGUGAGACGUCCGGAAGCCUCUGGCCGUGAUAAAACUUGCCUGAGGGGUUGGUCAGUUCUCAAGCAGAUGUGGUGAGCUAAGAAGUAGGGCUUAAGCCUGGGGGCUGUAUGGAUUAAGGCCAGCACGAGUUUCUCCGCUUGACUGUAUCUGGUCUCCGGACCUCGGAGGAUUCGGUUGACGUAGUAAACUGGCAUUUGAACACCUUCCUUCCUUAUCAACACGUCGCUCACAGCUUCGACCGCGGCAGACAGGUACAAAAACAACUUGUCCCCUGGCUGAGGCGAGGUGAGUAUUGGGAGGUGGUGUAGGUACUCCUUUAACUGAUCAAAGGCCUGUUAACAUUCUUCAGUCCAGAAGAAGCUAUCUGCCUUCUUCAGAGUCUUGAAAAAGGGCAACGCCUUGGAAGCUGACUGCGAUAGGAACCUGUUCAGGGCUGCCAACCGGCCUGUCAGCCUCUGGACGUCACGGACGCACCGAGGUGAAGACAUUUCUUGGAUCGCUUUCACCUUAUCCGGAUUUGCUUCGAUGCCUCGCCUCGAGAUGAGGUAACCCAAAAACUUUCUCGAAAUUUCCCCAAAAACACAUUUCUUGGGGUUUAACAUCAUUCCCGUCUUCCGUAGGACCUCAAGGACCUCUUUCAGGUCAGAAAGGAAGAUGGAGGUCGUCCGGCUCUUGAGGAGGAUGUCAUCCACAUAGGCUUUAACAUUGCGGCCGAUCUGGGAUUUGAAAGCCUGGUUGACCAGGCGUUGAUAUGUGGCCCCGGCAUUUUUUAGUCCGAACGGCAUGGUGGUGUAGCAAUAUGUGCCUUGGUCAGUGUAGAAGGCCGUCUUCUCUUGGUUCUCCUGACUCAUUCCAAUCUGAUGGUACCGCUUGAAAGCGUCAAGAAGGCAAAGGAACUCGUAACCCAUUGCUGAGUCCACCAGGGUGUCGACUUUGGGCAACGGGUAGCAGUCUUUGGGGCAGGAUUUGUUUAGGUCGGUGAAGUCGACGCACAUUCUCCAAGCCCCGGUGUCCUUCUUGACCAUGACUGGGUUGGAUAGCCAGGUCGGAUAUUGGACCUCCCGGAUUAUCUUUGCCUGUAGGAGCUUGUCCACUUCUUCACCGACAGCUCGGCUGCGCUCAGGGUCGAGGUGCCUUCUUUUCUGUUUGACCAAACGAAUUUGGGUAUCGACGUUCAACUCAUGUACUAUAAGGUGAUGCGGGACCUCUUGGACCUCAUCUGCGACCUAGGCGAAGACGUCCUGGUACUUUCUGAGGAUGUCCACCAUACCUUUUUUGAUCGGGUCAGGCAAUCGGGUGCCGACGCGGAUCGUUCGCUCCGGCUUCAUAAGGUCUAGGAAAACCUCUUCCACCUCAUCUCCAGCCCCCAACCUCGGAGCCUUCUCAGCCUGCUGAGGGUCGAGGCAGUCUAUUGAGAGAAUGUUGGAUCUCUUCUCGGACCUCACAUCGGAGGUCGAUGUGGAGGCUGCUUGUAAGGUGGCGAGAUAACACUUCCGGGCAGUGCAGACGUCGCUGUUGACCUCGGCAAUUCCCGCGGGGGUAGGAAACUUGAAACUCAGAUGGUAUGUGGAAUAUACCGCUCGCAGAGCAUUAAGUGUGGGUCGGCCCAGGAACAAGUUGUACGGGGAGUCAGCCUUAACCACCACAAAAUUGAUUGGGAUGGUUCGACGGCGGGGGUGACGCCCCACAGUUACUGUCAGAGUCACCAUCCCUUCAGGAUGCACGAUGUGUCCCCCGAAUCCCACCAGGGGGUUCUUACCGGGGUCAUGUGUUCUUUGGCCAACUUAAAGCUUUCAAAAGUGCGGAGAUACAUAACGUCCACCGAACUCCCUGGGUCGAUGUAGACCUUCUUCACAAUAUAGUUAUUGGUGAGUAUUUCAAUCACCAAGGCUUCAUGGCUACUUGAUGCAGCCGGAACUAGAUCGGUGGGGCCAUAAGAAAUGACUUUAGAUAGGCGAGAACUUGACUCGGCUUGAUCCGGGUUAGCUUGCCUAUAGGUCCUUUUCCGGGAGUUCUGACUAUCCCCUCCCGUCGGACCUCCGGCAAUAGUGUUGAUGACUCCAGCAAUGUUUGACCCAUAUCCUAACCUCUGGCCUGAGGAUCCGUCUCGGGGAGGCCUUUUUGUCUUCCUAGGUUCCUCAGGGGGUCGGCAGCUGCUUCUCGACGUCCGCCUUUCGUUUCGGCUUUGGUCACCUCGUCCAUCACGCCGGUUAUCAUUACGCUGAUGACUUCCACCUCGGCGGACAAACUGCUUCAAGUGUCCCUGUCUGAUGAGGUUCUCGAUCUCCCUCUUGAGGUCGUUGCAAUUCUCGGUCUCAUGCCCGAUAUCUCGGUGAUACAGGCAGUAGAGGUUCGAGUUCCUCUUGUUUCUGCUACCAAACAUCCUGGGAGGUGCCUUCUCGAGAUUGUUCUGUUCCAUUACGAAUAACACCCAAGAUCGGGUGGUGUUCAGAGGAGUUAACUCAGACUCGGGGAUGGGUGACUUCCCCUUAGAAAUCCUGUCAAACACACUGCGGCGAUCUCGGUUAGGGCUUUGGAAGCCACUCCCUGUCCCCGCUUCACUUCGGCCCGCGUCUUUUCCCCUUCGGAGGUCAGCCCUCGGGCGAGCGGCUUGGACCUCUUUCUUCAUGCGGUUGAGGUCUUCUGCUUGUAUGUCCUUCUCGACCUUCAACCAUAGUUCGUGGAGCGUGCGGGGAUACUUCUUGUGGAUCCCCGUAUUGAAUACCCCGGCAACGAGCCCAUGGAUAAAAGCAGCAAUGGUAACCUGCUCAUUGGGGUCAGGUAUCUGUACGCUUUCCUCAUGGAACCUCUGGACGUACGAUCGAAGUGACUCUCCUGGGUUCUGUUGCAUAUUCAGCAAGUAAGCCGAGAUCCUGGUCGUAGGUCGGAGGAGACAAACCGAUGGAGAAAUCUCUCCACUAAUUCCCCCAGGGUUGAGAUGCUCCUAGGUUCUAAACCCCAGAACCAUUUUCGAGCUAUCCCCUGGAGGAACACUGGAAAAGCUCGGCAUAUGACGGGGUCAGGGAUGCAAUAUAGGCGAAAGGCCGAGAUAAAGGCAUGGAUAUGAUUCUCGGAUCACCUCGACUGUCAUAAGAUUGUAUCGAGGGGAGUUUGAAAUUUGGAGGAAGCCUUUCCUCGUUGAUAUCAUCAGUAAAAGGAGGGGCUCUCAUGUAGUCCAUCCCGGGCCUUCCUAGGGGUCGAGGUUCCUCCUUAGGUCGUCGUCCCAAGAGCCCUCGGGAAAAUGCCUUGGAUAAGGAGGCUACCUUAGAGGUGGCCUUGGAAAAUGCCCGUUUUGAAGCGCUUCGGCUGAGGCGCCUUCCAUCAGACUCCUCUUCAGAUGAACCUUCAGGAGAUCUAUCUGACUUCCUUUUAGAAGACUCCGCCUUCUGCUUGCCUUGCCUUUUUAGGUACCUCCCUAACUCCUCGAAGAUGUUGGGGUUCUCGGUUACAAACUCAACCAUACGGGUUAUGGCUUGUUCAUUUGCGGGCUGAGUCCUUGAAGACUCCUGCCCUUCGGAAAUAUCUUCCUGUUGAGCUACAUUGCUUUGCUCAGCCCCAAUAGUGAGAGCUUUCCUGCUCCUAGAACGUGUAGGCUUCAUAUUCUAAUAUCUUCACGUUCCCACAGACGGCACCAAUUGAAGAGGUGAUUUUAGUCCCGCUGGGUGAACCUUCCGAACUGAAGAAAUGUUUUGUCUUCGGCAAGGCACUGGGACGAGGUCACCUGCUUAGGUUACAGGAGGGGCUGAAUCCCCCGAUGUAACUCCGAAACUUAAGUUAGUUCGGUAGUGAAAAAGUAAUAUAGUGGAGAAGAUCAGUAUAGUUUUACCAGAAAUUAGUCAUCCCCCUUCUCAGUAGAGGUGUUGAGUAUUUAUAGAGAAUUGAUUUGAAGAGGAACUGCUGGCACGGGUUCCGAGAGAUCUGAUAUGGAUAUUAUAUCAAAUUUGAUAUGAUAUCCCUGCGAAAAGGUGCGUCGGAACAGGUAUCAGAGUCAGGCGGCACAUGUGUCAGAACAGCUCUCCGUCAAGUGUCAGAUGUGUCAGGGGUCACAUCAUCUUUCCACAGUGGUCAAGUCGUUUGGGCAUCACCUCGGCUCACGCUCCGAAGAUCUCCGCCGAGGUGAUAAACGGGUCAGGACCACCUCACUAAAUGACGCGCCGAGGUGGCACUUCCAGUAGUCUUGCAGGGUGAGGCCCCAGCUUAUCCGGGCUGAAACGACCAUCCUCAAACUUCAAAUUCCCAAAUGUUCCAUUCUAUGAUGGAAAAGGUGAUCAUGAAGACCAAGUCCAUGCCUUCUUAUCGGCAUUCAGACUGUAUGGGAUCCCCAACGCAGCGAUGUGUCGGGCUCUUCAUCAUUUCGUUAAGACUUAGUAGUUGAGAAAUUUAAUGGCUAGUCUUCUCAUGCAUGGUAUGCACCGAUCUUUAGAAUCGGCAUAGUAUGCAAGGGCAAACGCCACCCCCAAGUUUUUGAGAAUUUUCUUUUAGCUCCUAGGAAAUUUUAUAAAUUUUCAUUAAAAAUCUCUCUCUUGCACCCGUAGAUUAUCAGUUUUCAGUGUAAUUCUAUGAUUAUGGCUUGUAUGUUUUUUUUUUCCUCUUCUAGCGCUUAGCUAUUCAAUCUUGAUAUCUGAUUACAGCUCAAAAUUUUGUUAUCACUGCCUUAUUUUAACAAAAAAUAAUAAUAAAUUUAGUGACAUGAAACACAACAAUGAAGCUGCGUAUUCAUUACUGAAUCGAAAUAUGCAUUAGUUAUUUAUUAAUAGGGUUAUUAUUACUUUACCUCUUAACAUUCGGUGUCACUAUCAAUUUCUCCUUUAACCCUUUUAGUCAUUUUACUCCCAAGACUAAUGGUCAAAUUUAACAGAGUUUGUUAAUUAAAGUGAAAAGAUACAUUUAACCCUUAAAAUUAUUAUCACUUUACUCUCAUAAACUAUAGUCUGAUUAUCAAUUUACCCCAUAGAGUUAUUUUUUAGACAAUUUAUUGCACUAUUAAACCAAUUUAGCCAGUUAAAGAACUCUAGAAGAAAGUACUCUUUUUUUUGUAUAAUAAAAAUAAAAAAAAUGUAGAAUAACUCUUCUUGUUUUUAGUAUCAAGAAAAAAAAUAUCAAAUUGUUAAUCUCUUUCUUCUUAAUAAUCUUAUUAAUAUUGAAAAGAAAAGAAAGAUGUGGAGGAGGAGGGGGAGGGAGAGAGAGAGAGAGAGAGAGCUCAAUUCUUUUUUUAAAAAAAUAAAAAUAAGAAAAAAUUACGUACUUUUAUUAUUUUAAAAUUAUUUCAUUUUUUUGUUUACUACCAAAUUUCAAUCCUGAUCUUGAUAAUCUUAAAGUAAUACGAUAAUGUUAGACUCUUCUUUAUUUUCUUUCUUUACAAAAUCUAAUUUUCUUUCUCCUUCUUUCCUAUCUCCUUUUCUUUUCCUAGCAUUAAUAAGUGUGAAAAAAGAAAUUUGAGAGAUCCUUUUAUUUUUACGUUUUUGGAUCCUUUAAAGUGAAAAAAAGGAAGAAUAACCUUUCCAACCAUUUCAUUUUUUAAUUAUAUAUAAAAAUGGUAUAUAUAUUUUAAAAAUUUUGAUCAUACUAGUUAGAUUAACGAUGAGAUAAAAUGCUUAAAAAAUAAUGUUAAGAAUUAAAGCGAUUGUAUCAUUAUAAUUUCAAGGGAUAAAAUGGUAAUAACAAUAUGAUAAUGCUAUAAAAUAAAGAGGUAUUUUCUGUCUAAAAUUUCUUAACAUGUUGAGUUGAAUUACUUAUGAAGGUGAACUGACUAAAAGAUAAUAUUACGGGGCAAACUGAUAGUAGUGGUAUAGUUUAAGAGAGUAAAGUGAUAAUAACCACUACAAGAAAUUUGGCCUUUUGUAACAACAAAAAGUCAUGACUAAAAAUCAAAAAGUCGUCAUUAUAUGAGUAUAGUGACGACUUUUUCCAUUGUCACAUUGUUUUCACUAAUUCUAUAUCACAAAUGGGUACGUGUGACAACCCUUUGAAAGUCGUUACUAAAUCUUGUUAUUUAAUGAUGAGGACAAAGUCGUCACUAAUGAUUAUCAUUCUGUGACAAAUUUUCUUGUCACUAUUUCACAUAUUUUUUGUCAUAAAUGGAGCAAAAGUAGUAACAAAUUUGAAGUCUAUAGUGAUGACUUGAACUUGUCACUAUCAGUCCUAGUAUUCAGUGACAGGAAUAAUCGUCACUUAGUGAACUUGCAUAUAGGUUGUCACUGAACUUUAUCUUAACAAACUGCAAUUGUUCAUCAUUGUCACGGUAUUUCCGACAUUAUAGCGAAACUCAAUUUGACAAAAAGGCAUGGUAAACUUGCAUGCUAGUGACAACCUUCCUUUGAAAGUUGUCACUGAGUUUUGUCUUCAAGAGUUGACAUUGACCAUUACAAAUAUAGUAUUGCCAUGGCAUUUUCAACAAUUAUAGUAAAACAUUCAAUUUGACAAAAGGCAAAAUCAACAUAAAAGAUAUGUCGCAAACUCAUAUAUAUGAUCAUAACACAUCUUUAAAUUAAUAUAAACAAAAGUGAAUCACAAAUGUUGGGUCCCAAAUCCCACAUAAUCAGUUCAAGUAAUAAUAACCAAUACAUAUACUUCCCAAGAGAUAGAGUACUAGAUUUCUAAACUAAAGCAUAUAUUACAGCACCAAUGUCAGAUUUCAGUCAUCUCUAUCAGCAUAUCCAAUAGUCUUCUCAUGAUCACUAUGAAGCUGGACUGCAUUGAAAAUAAACUAUUAAAUGCAUUAGAGUAUACUUUAAUCAGAAAAUAUGCUAUUACAACCUUACACUACUGAAUUUGAAUGAAUAAUCAACAUAUGUUGCAAACAGGUCAGUACUUUUAACAGCAUAAUCAACAUAUUCGAGUUUAUUCUGAGAACAAGUUCGAAAAGCACAACUUUUGCCAUUCCACUUUUGCAUAUUGGCCAGAAAAAAAUCACUAAUACUAUACUCUUCAAAUUCAUAUCCAACAUGACAAUUACAUGGAAACUCAAAUUGGGACUUUGUGCCAGGCAAUUUCAUUUGUUGAAAUAGAUAAAAGUGGGAUGAUUGAGAUAAUUUAAGACAAUUACAUGAUCACUUUGAACAAUUCAAAUAAAGCCACACCAAUAAUUUAUUUUUCACAGUUAUGAACACAACUACAUACAACAAAUUCCUUCUAAAAAGUUUUGCAGGAAUGUUAUAAAUUUUGUUCCAUCUCAAAAUAUAGUUGAAAAGGAUGCGGCAUCUCAUCAAGAAUUUAACUAGCCAAUGCCGCCAUGUUCAAAACUCAAAGGUGCAAAGUUUAGUAACAUUUAACUUCCAAAUUGCAUAGCCCACGACCCUUUGAAGUCCCAGGUGAUAUAUCAUGUGGAAAACAGAUAUAUCUUAUGUAGUUUUGAAAAUGCUUUCAAUCAAAAACAUCCCUUCUAGUUUAAUAGCUGCACAAGAGAACAACUAAACUAACAUUUUUCUAGCUUCAGUUCUAAACCAACCAUUUACAAAAUUUAAAUGGUUUACAAAACGAAUAGCAAAAGAUAGGGAAUCGACUCACAGUGUUGUCUUGAAUUUUCAAGAAUCUACGCAAUCUUUAGAGGAAAAGACAAUCUUCUUGCCAAGAGAAGGGCAACCGAAAAGGGCUAGCUUUUUCAAGUCGUUGUGUGACAUCCAUCUGAAAAUCCAAUUCACAAGAUUGAGAUGGAGAAGAUACAAGCUAGGAAACUCAAUACAUUGAAAAUGCUUUACUAAUCUCUGUGACGUAUAAAACUUGCACCAGAAGAAGCUAGAGCAAGAACUUAUUAGAAGGCCAAGUAAUGGUAGACUGUUUCACUCCAAAUUCAACAGAAUAUGCAACAUACAAAGAAUUACCCCGGUACUUUAGCAAUCUACUCCACUCUGUAAUAGUACAAAUAUUGAGCACAACUUAAAAAGUUACUCAUUGCUUCACAUCAAAGUACCAAAAAAAUUUUUUCCCUCAGUUACCACGUCACUUGAUAAUUUUAUUGUGUUUUUGAAUGCAAUGACUUGUUAAAAUGAAAAUAGUCAAGCAUAACUACAACUUGAGCACAAAUGGCCAUUAAAUUAUGUGAUCUUCACAUGUAGCACAUAAUUGAAUUUGCAACGAAUUGCAAUGUACCCUCAAUAUUCUUGCAACAACGUCCUUAACCACUCUACUUGAUUUCAUCUACUUGAUUUGAAAAUAAAAGCAUGAUGUCCAUCCUCUUGUUUGCUUGCUAACUCACUUCCAUUUACAGUUUUUCUCUUCUUGCUUUCUCAAAGAUUAGUUACAAACAGGACAAAAAGGAUUAAUAGCAGGGCAGUAGUAGGCAAAAGCCAAAAAAAUGAACGGACACAAGCUGGCAACCUAGCAACAAAAUUUCAUCAAAACACUUGUUGUUCACAACAAACAAGAAAAAAAAAAAGGAACAGCCACUACAAAGGGAAGAGGAAGAUGUCAGGAAAUGGAAUAGGCAACCUUCUUGUCCACAAGUUUGAAGAAAGCAAGGUUCCAUCAGAUAUCCAUUCUUAAGCAUUGUAUAACUAAUCCUAAGUUUGAGAUAAAAAGUUAGAAUCUUCUUUCUGUUCCCCUCUUAAUAGUUAAUACAUUCAAGUAAGUAACCCAAAGAAAGCAGAACAUUCAUUAGUCCAUGCCAAAAAUACCAUUCCUACAAUUGCAUUAACAUGACUACAAGCAACUCACCAGGGCAAAUUAUAAUCUAAGUACACAAGAGAAAGCAUAUUACUAGAAAAUUUAUCCGAUUAUUCUCAUAAUGAGAUUGAAGAAUUCAAAAAAUCACAUUUGAUGUCUAGAAAUCAACCACUCAAUAUUUAUAGAUUAGCGCUUCAAUAUACAAACGCAAGGAAUUCAUAGAGAAUCUAGGAUGCCAAGAACGAGCAAAUUAUAUCUUUGCCUUAUGAAAAGAAUAAAAAUCCUUACUUUGCAAUCUCCUGAUUAUCCUUUUUUUUUAUCAGUAACAAGAAGUACCAGCGUAUAAUCCAUUAAACCCAGAAAAAAGGUGCCACCAAAUAUUUUUAAGAAAUUCCUUAGAUUGAUUUGAAGACCUAGAGCAACCAAAACUGUAGAUAGAGUCUCAAUCAACUAUGUAUCUCAACAUGCAUAACUUUCAACUGCAACAUCUGAGAGCCUAAAUUGCAAAUAACAUAAUUUAGCAAAACAUGAAUCUAAGAGAAGCAUGAACUUGGUGGUGCUGAACCAUAACCUCCAGAUCCACGGCCAAAGCCAGGCCUUCCACCAGAACCCCUGAAAGCAGGCUGGUUGCAAGAGCUCCACCUUUCUCACCACCAAACUUACCAGGAGGUCCACGGGGACCAGCACGAUACCCUCCCUGUGCACCAAAUUCACUAUCCCUCGUCCAAAAAGACAACAGCAGGGGAAGAAAGAGACAGAGAACAAGAGAGGAUAUGUUCUACUUCCUGAAUUACAAAUCUACCCGUCCACUAGAGAGACUAUCUUUUCUAAGAAAUGUUUAUGCAGCCUUCUGGAAAUGCUUGGAAAGCAGCUUCACAAUCUCAGUAAAUCCAACUUUCUCCUUGCCUUCAAAUAUGGUCUUCAGCUUCUCAUCACAGUAGAUCUCUUUCUUGUUGUUUGGAUUCUGAAGGUUUUUGGAUUUGAUGUAAUCCCAGACUUUCCUGACGGCGUCAGUGCGGGAAGUUUCAGGUGCGCCAAGGAACUAGCGGAGAGCAGGAGAGACAGGCUGCUUCUUCAGGAUGCCAUUUCUGCGGCCAGAAGUUUUAGCAGCGGCGGAUCCAGAAGUGGUGGAGGCGACGGAGGUCUUAGCGGCUGCCAUAAGUGCUCUGCAGCGGUUUCCGAAAACCCCAGCGGUCGACGCCAUAGAGAGAGACCCUAGAGAGAGAAGAAAGAGUGAGAGAGUGAGGGGACUGGGAGUCUGUGAGUGAAGAAGGCAGGCAGGGUGGAGGGAAAAUAUGAGAAAAGACCAAAAACGAUGUCGUUUCUGCUUCUUUUGUUCACGCACAUGUACUUCUUCAAUUUUCAGCUUCCCGCUUCCAUUUUAGCUAAGACCAAAAAAUAACACUUUCAUCCUCUUUUGUACGGCUAAUUGAUCAAAUUAUUGUUCGAAAAAAAAUCACAACAAUAAAGUUAUUAUUUUGAGCUUUUUUACUUCACAAGUUGUAUCUGGAACUUUAUUUGUUACAUUAAAACUUUGAAAAUUUAGUGUUUUUGGAUAAUUUUUGGAAAAUUUAGUGUUUUUGGGAUUAAUUUAGUGUUUUUGAAAAUUAGUGUUUUGGAAUAUUUAGUGUCUUAUUAAUAAUAUGUUUAUGAUUCAAAAAAAUCUUUUAAUGCAAAUAUUUUUGGUAUUGAUUUAAUAAUUUUAUUAAUUAUGUACGAAAUUGUGGUCUGACAAGACCUAACAAGCUGCUAGUUGAUCAAUUAACCAAAAUAGUUUGCUAAUACAUGCAUAAAACACUAAAUGUAUUUGGUACAAAUACCGAUUUAUAAACCAUAAAUAAUGUGAUUAUUGUAAUUAAUAAUAAACUCCAUCCAUGCGAUUGUCAAGAUUUUACUUAAUUUCAUGUUGAAUUUUAUUGUUCUUUGCCAUUAUUUUCACACUAUGCUAGUCAAUAAUUUUCCAUGUGUUGUCAAGACAAUUAGAUAGGGAAUCCAUGAUAUUUUUUAACCUUAGCUAAGUUCGGUACAAGUUAUUGGCUAAGUUUGGAACAAUUAUAAAAAUAUGUAUAUAUAUUUUAUUAAAAUAUCUUUCUCAUUUUGCUAAUGAAAAACAUCAACUAAAGUGUAAAGGAUAGGGUGCCAUAAUAGAAUUAAUGAAAUCGGUUUAUCACAUACGAGACUAAAUUGUAAAAGAUAAGGUGUCAUGAUUGAGUUAAUGGAAUCAAUUUAUUACAUAUGGGGCUAAAAUGUAAAAUUUAGGGUGUCAUAAUAAGAUUAAUAAAAUUUAUUUAUCGCAUAUAAGCCACAUUGAAAAAAUUAGGGUGGCAUAGUAGAAAUAAUGAAAGUGAGUUAGGAACAAGCACUUUAAAAAUAUGUUUAUGAUUCAAAAAAAGAUAUUUUAAUGCAAAUAUUUUUUGUAUCAAUUUAAUAAUUUUAUCAAUUAUGCACGAAUUGUGGUCUGACAACACCAAACAAUUUGUUUAGUUGAUCAAAUAACCAAAAUAGUUUACUAAUACAUGCAUCAAACACUAAAUCUAUUUGAUACAUGUACUGAUUCAUAAACCAUAAACAAUUUGAUUAUUGUAAAUUGUAAUACAUAACAAACUCCAGUCAUGAAAUUGUCAAGAUUUUUACUUAAUUUCAUAUUAAAUUUUAUUAUUCUCUUCCAUUAUUUUCACACUAUGUUAAUCAGUAAUUUUCCAUAUGUUGUCAAGAGAACUAAAUAAAGAAUUCAUGAUAUUUUUUAACUUUAUAAUAAGGUAUUAGCUAUGUUUGGAAUAAUUAAAAAAUAGGUAAACAUUGUUUUUUACAAUACAUUCCUCAUUUUGCUAAUGAUAAACACAACCUAAAGUGUAAAAGCAUAGGGUGCCAUAAUAGAAUUAAUAAAACUUUUCUUUAUCACAUACGAGGCUAAAUUGCAAAAGAUAAGGUGUCAUGGUAGAGUUAAUGAGAUUAGUUUACCAAAUACGGGGCUAAAGUGUAAAAGUUCGGGUGUCAUAACAUAAUUAAUUAAAUUUACUUGUAGCGUAUGGGCCAUAUAGAAAAAAUUAGGAUGGUAUAUGGAGUUAAAAUGUAAAAGUUAGGGUGUCAUAAUAGAAUUAAUAAAAUUUAUUUACAACACAUGGGCCAUAUUGAAAAAAUUAAGGUGGUAUAUGGGGUCAAAAUGUAAAAGUUAGGUGUCAUAGUAGAAUUAAUAAAAUUUAUUUACAACACAUGGGCCAUAUUGAAAAAAUUAAGGUGGUAUAUGGGGUUAAAAUGUAAAAGUUAGGGUGUCAUAGAAAAAUUAAUAAAAUUUAUUUACAAAACAUGGGUCAUAUUGAAAAAAUUAAGGUGGUAUAUGUGGUCAAAAUGUAAAAGUUAGGGUGUCAUAGUAGAAUUAAUAAAACUUAUUUACAACAUAUGGGCUAUAUUGAAAAUAUUAGGAUGACAUAGUAGAAUUAGUGAAAGUGAGAUGGGAAUAAAUGCUUUGGACAGUGACGACUAGUUGUUGUCACUAAUUUAGAACUGGCAACCAUAUUGUGACGAUAUUUUAAGUUGUCACUGUAGGACAAGUUUCAGUGACAACAUGUUUUCCAGUUGUGACAAUGGUGAUCUCCCGCCACACUGGAUAGUUGCGCGCCUUCCAUAUUGUAACGACUUAUCCCGUGUUGUCACUGUUGAUGGGUGAACCCACGAUCAAGUAUGACGACAUUAAAAGUCAUUCCUAAAGUUUCAAUUGUGACAACUUUCUCUCUUGUCGCAGAGAAUGUUGUCACAAAAGGCCAAAUUUCUUGUAGUGAACCCAUAUUAAUAUGACUACUCAUUUCUCUAUUCUUCUCAUUCAUACAAUCUUAAGGGCAAAAAGUUGACCAUUCUCAAAUCUCAAACUCUGAAAAGCAAUCAUAUUUGAUCAGGAUGUAAAUUGAAAAUACCCAUAUACAUACUAUUGCUAAGAUGUGUGAUAUUUGCACUCUUAUAUUAGCCUCUCAUAUUGAAAUUCACCUACUGAAUAAAAGGCCAUCUAUGAGUGUGAGUGGCAAAUUUGGGAGUGGAAAUAUCACUUUUUUGUGUCUAAUUAGAUGCACGUAUUGGUUUUAUAUGUUUAAGGAGAAAACUUUUGAAUAUAUACAAAAUUAAUUAUUAGAUUCAACUUCACAUAUAAAAGAUCCCAUGUAUUUAGGACCAAGUACAUAAAUUUGAAAUUUGGCAGACAAAAAAUUGAAAUAAUUAAUUAUUGAAUAGAUCACAUGUAUUUAGUUUUGAAAAAAAUUUUCUUGGCAUAGUAAAUAGAAUUUUGAAUAAAUCAACAUGUAAUGCUAAUGCAAUUAAUAACAAGUUGAACUUCACAGAUUAACAACAAAAUAGCAAGGUCAAAAAUAUUUAAAGAGGAAAACUUUAAAUUUUUGAUAAAACAAAAGUUAGGUGUACAAUUCAAUUUCAUUAAAUCUAAUGAAGCAUAAUAAAGAUCUUCAAUGAAAAUUUUUGAAAUUUCAUAGGGACUAAAAACAAUCAAAAACUUGGCUGUCCCCGCAGCUUCCCGACGCCCCUGAAAAAUUGGCCACAUGCAUGGUUUAUUGCCCCGCUCAAAACGAAUGAUUGGCAUUCUGAAAGAUUAUUUUGCUGAUGUCCAUGAAAAGAUUUAUGUGACAUCCUAUAAAACUGAUGGGGACAAAUAUUCAAAGAAUUUAUUGUAAUUAUUAUUAUUAGAAUAGGAAAGAAGAAUCUCUUAUCCAUCUGUCCCCUCCUCUUUGUCUGCAUUGAACAAUGUUCUGUAGUAUAAGCAGGAAUGAUUGUACAAUUUAAACUAGUAAAGCUAAAAUCAACCAAACAACUGAACCACUAACAAUACUUAAAAAGGAAACCACCAGCAUUUGGGCUGGUGGCCACCACCUAACUUGGUGAGGUGGGUGUGUUGUGCACCUUUUUGAUUCGGUGAUGGUUCAGUCCUUUCCGAAUUAUUUCUUGGCCUCCUUAGGUUCGCCCCCCUCCCCCUUAGUGUAGGAUAGAUUAGGUUAUACAAAGUUGUCGUAUCCGCCAAAAAAAAAAAGAAAACUAACAAUACUUAAAAAUGAAACCAGGUACCAUUACAUCUUUGUAAUAGUAGAUUGACAUAUAUAAUUUGAUAUCAAAGUAGAGAACAAACUAAACAAGGAUUUAUUUAAUUAUGGCAACAUAAUGGAUAGAACUCCCAAGCUGCAGAAGACAUACGUAAAAACCAUCAGAGCAACAAACAUAGAUCACUUGGGAGGCGUUAACAUGUUUCUGUACUAUAUUUAGUGCUUCGGAACCCAGACAAUGUGAUCCUCAGGAAGGAAAUGGCAGAUUGGAACAGUUCCUGGCUUCACCUUCAGCAGCUGAAAAGCCAAAUGCCUUGGGUUCCAUGCUGACGUAUCCCGGUGACAAACAGCUACAGCCUUGACUUUUGCUCCAUCGGCACCAACUAAAUUAACCAUAUAUGCAUCUGUAUUCUGUGUGGUGUGGCAGUAGAAAACUGCGUAGAAAUAGUUUUGCCUGUGGCAAGAAACUAUUUCUUUAUCGUUGUUGUUCAACUUGGAAACAGACACAAUACCAUAUUUCUGGACUUCUGGAUCUGUUUUCUGUGCUUCGUUAGAAAUUGCUAGAACAUCUUUGCCCAGCUUUGAAGUAGUGAAAUCAACCAUUGAUUCGAGAGAAGUCGCACAAUACUUGUCUUCUCCUUUCAUUGCGGGCACCUCGCAUUCUGCUAUCGUUUCCUUAAUAAUUCUAGCAUCUUGUGAUUGUGGAUUCAGUGAGUAUUUGUUCAAAAUUUCAGGAACAGAUUUUGAUGAGAAGGGAAUCGAAUUAGCAACCUGGCGGGGCAGGAAAGCCGUAGGACUUUUCACUGAUUCAACAAACUUCAUAUUCAUGCUUGAGCCGCGAUUGAGGUCCAUUUUCAAGAAAAAGACUUUCACUUUUGGGUCAAUAUGGAGCUCAUCUUCAGUAGGAUUUCCACAAUAAUGUUUGAAACUACAGCUGUCAUCAUAUGUUUUCAACCUGAAAUUGCCCCUUUCCGGCCACUUCCCUGUAUUUAUUGGAUGAGCAACAAAUUAGUACAACAUAUAAAUCCGGCCAGCUUUUAUUUCUGGUAAUGGACUACAAUGUCCCUGCGCAAAUUCUUCCAGCAAUAUCCCCCUUUUUAAGAUCCUUGUCAUAUGCUUGCUCAUGAUUAAUGGAAGAGUAAAAUUAUUAAAAGAAAAGCAUGUUAGAUCUUUUUCUUUUCUUUUUUUUUUAACACGGUACAAGAAAACCCCUGUAAUUAUUGAAGUACUUUUUCUUUUUGUUUUGUUUUAAGUGAAACUAGAAGUUUUCUAUUACAAUUUCUCCUUUUUUUUUUAAG
rnacentral:lncRNA from 1 species